rnacentral:lncRNA from 1 species
ACCUGCUCGUCCACCGUGCCGGGGGCGACGCACUGGCGCUUCACGAACGCCCGGCAUCGCGGCAGCGGGUACGUCGGGUAGCCGAUUCCUGGCUGACAUAGCUGGCCGGGAGUGUAGACCACCUGUUCUUGGUGGUGGUCCGCCAUUGUCGUCGUUGCUGCGAGCACGGAGACGACGACGACGAGCAACGCCGAGAUCACUACCUUGUUGGAAGCCAUUUUUUUUUGUUUGCAGAAAUUCUUGAUUGUUAAUUUGUAUGAGAGGGAUAGAAGCUCUCCCAUCUAUGGGUGGUUUUAUAUAUAGCUAUAAAGACUAAAGUGGUUCAGGAAAUGGAGACAAUUUUUUUUGGCUGUUCAUGAGGGAUUAGCUUGUGGUUUUGAAUGAAAAUUUUGUUGUUAUUCGUACGCCUAAUCUGGCAUCACACGGAUAAAAGUUGGUUAAAGGGGAUUGAUAUGCACCACACUCUUUAAUUAUUUCAACUUAUUUUGAUUCUUCCGUGCAAGAAAUUGAAUUAAUGCACACAUUGUCAACAGACGCGACGCAUAGUUAUGCAUGGUAACAAAAUCUGUUGAUCUUUAGUUCCAUGGCUUAUAUGGUGAUCCAAAUUGUUGAACAAGAAAAACAAUAGUUCCAAACAAAUAUUUUAAAAGUAAUGCCUCUGGAAGCUGCAACAGUAGACGUGCCUGAUCAAGCAUAUAUAUAUUGGAGUUAUCUGAAACACAAAUUUCAUAUAUAGAUAGCUUUAAUGCGCACAUUGGAUAACAGGUUAUAUUAACAAGGCACGGCAUUAUAUAUGGCUAGAAGAAGCACGUACGCAAAAUCACUUUGUGAAAAAAUGAUACAAAUUAAAGGCUACAAAUAAUUUGUGCUAUAAUCCUGUCGAGUUGCAGUUUGUGCCAGCCCUUUUUUUAAAGAAAGUAUAAGGGAUAUCAAAAUAUAGGUCUUAAGUGAGGGGCAAGAAAGAGUUUGUUAUUUUGUGAGAAAGGAAACAAAAUAAAACAAGAGGGUUGUUAGCUUGGGUGUGAGUUUAAUGUCCUUCAAAGUGUAUUUGUUUUAUCUGAUCGAUGAUCUUAAUUAUUGCAAAAUAAACAACUCAUUGUAUUCCUUUUUUACUCGUCAUACGUACCAUCUCGACACAUUAAUUCUCACCAGUUCAUAGGUUUUUGUCAUUCGUAUUGAUAAUUAUAUUAAUAAAAGACAGUUAAAUAUAACAAUAAUAAAUAUUCAUAUUUUAUUUUUGUGUAUAUUAGUGAGUUAAAAAGAAAUCAAGAUUUUGUUGCCUCCUAUCCAAAACAGCAUUUUUCCAUGAACGGGAAGUAACAUAUAUAUCAAUAGCUUUACUUAUAUUUUGUUCACGCUUUCACAAUUGACAUAUUUGUGUAGUCAUCGCAGCCAUUUUUUCUAUAUGUAUACUUCGUUGUAAUUUAUUUUUUUGCUGGCAUGCAGUAUAUGACAAAGUUAUUGUGUAUGGCUUUUACAGACGUCAUGAAAAAGAACAGAAUGUCCAAGAAGCAGUUGGACCAGAGAGGCCAAGGCGAACUUGAUAAGAUCUGAAAUGGACUGUGCUGCUACAAGGGUGGCAAAGGGGAUGCUUUUUGACAGGUCAUGAAACUAGUCCCCGCUUUCACAAUUAACAAGCCACGUAAUAGAAAUUACUAAGAACAUUACAAAAAAAGGGGAAUUUCAAGAACAAAAUAAUAGAAGAGAGGAACAUCGUCCAUUCCACUUUUUAUUACUUAUUAUUGUCAUCAGAUAUAUGGAGACGCAGCAAUCGUGGAUGUGAAAAUUAAUUAGUCGGCUGGCUAGUGCUAGCUAGUAACAAGCUACUCCCUUCGUUACAAAAUAAGAUUAUAGAGGGGACCUUCAGGUUUUGCAAUACACUAAUACACAAACGAUUUUUCUAUACUAGACUUCAUGAAUUUUUGCAAACAGACCAUAAGUGAUGGCGUAUGCAAAAAUCGACCUUCAUUUUUGCAUACGGCUUCUUAAGACGCCCGUAUGGAAAAACUGAUUUUUCCAUGCGGGUCACUUAAGAGGUCCGCAUGCAAAAAUGAGCUCAUUUUUGCAUGUGGAUCACUUAAGUACCCGCAUAGGAAAAUCUAUUUUUCCAUACGGGCGUCUUAAGAAGCCGUAUGUGAAAAUAAAAUUUGAAAAUUUAAAAAUUUGAAACUAGUUUAUCUCACUCGUAUGAACUCUAAAUUGGAUGAUUCUUUUUCCUAAAUGUUUCUAAAAUCAUACUCUAUCAUGUUAUUGUGUUCUUUUGCUAUUAUUUUGGCCAUUUUUCCUUGUGACUUCGUUUUAUAAAUUAAAAAUUUGAAUUUCAAAACUUCAAAUAAUAUUUUGAAGCAGUAAAUAACUUUAGUCGAAAAGUCAUCAACAACAAAGUUGUAUAACUCAUCAAGAUCUAUAACUUUUAUUUUGGUCAUUUCUUCAUUUGAUGAAGUGAUAGUAAUAUUUUCACAAAAUUUACAUAUCUCUCUUAUAGUUUAUAAAACCAUAUGAGAGAUAUGUAAAUUUUAUGAACAAUGUUACUGUUAAUUUGUCGGACGAAGAAAUGACCAAAAUAAAAGUUAUAGAUCUUGACGAGUUAUACAACUUUGUUGUUGAUGAUUUUUUUCAACUGAAAUCAUUUAGUUUUACAAAAUGUUGUUUGAAGUUGUCAUAAUUUGAAUUUCAAAUUCAAAUUGUUGAAUCAAAGUCAUAUAGAAAAAUGACCAAAACAAAAGUUGUAUAUUUUAAUAAGUUAUACAACCUUGUUAGUGAUGUAUUUUUCAUUUGAAAUCAUUUACUACCUGAAAAAUUAUUUAAAUUUAUUAUAUUUUAAAGUUCAAAUUUUAGAUAGUUCAAUCAAACUCGGAUAGAGAAAUGACCAAAAGAAAAAUGGUAGAUCUCAAUGAUUUCUACAACUUUGUUUUUGACAACUUUUUCACAUGAGUUGAUUUAGAACCAUAAAAUUCGAUUCGAAUUUCUCAUAUUUUUACAUGCAGCCCCUUAAGAGGUUCGCAUGCAAAAAUCUACUUAGAUUUUUUCAUGCUUACCUUUUAAGUGGUCCGCAUGCAAAAAUGCCACCCCAAUUUUUUUCAUCUCCCUCCACUCUCUUUUCCCUUCCACCACUUCAAUUUUUUUUCAACACAUCUCCUCUCUCUCUCCCCCUCUAUUAUUUAAGGCAAAUUUUGCUACAGGACACUUGUUAUGUGUGGUUUUAGCCCCAGGACACUGCCCAAACUCACUUUUGGGUGAAAACACUCCGUAAACGUGGUAAUUUACCAGUGGACACCACGCCGAUUAAAAUAAUGCUUUCUCUCAGAGCGCGCUUGCACGGGGUGGCGUCGGUCACGGCAAAGAUGGCGAGGAUGGCGGCUGGCGGAGUGGAGCGGGGUGGCAGCGGCGGUGGACGAGCGCGUGGCCGGUGGAGCGGCAGUGUCGGCCAAGCGGAGUGGCAGCGGCAGCGACCAAGUGCGCGAUAGGAGUCGCGGCGGCGGGCGGCUGGCGAGAGUGGCGCACACCCCAUGGCGACGGCGAUGGCGACGCAAGCUCCCACGUCGGCUGAUCUCUUUGGCGGCGGCGGUGGUAUUAUUUUAAUCGAUUUUUGACAUUUCACGCGAUUUCUCUCUCCUCUCCAACCGGAAAGUAUUAUUUUAAUCGGCGCGGUGUCCACUGGCAAAUUACCACGUUUAUGGAGUGUUUUCCCCCAAAAGUGAGUUUGGGCAGUGUCCUAGAACUAAAACCACAUAUAACAAGUGUCAUGUAGCAAAAUUUGCCAUUAUUUAUUUUUACUCUCCCCCUCUCUCUCUCUAUCUCCACGGAUCUGUCCUCUCCCUCUCUCCCCCUCCCUCUCUGAGAGCGGGUGCCGGUGACCGUGAGCAGGGACGGAGAUGGCAUCGGUGGGCGGCGGAUCCAGCGGCGCCGCCCUAGGGAGCGGCUACGGCUACGACGACGGCGGGCGCACAGCGGGGGCGGCGGAUAGAUCCGGCGAGUGGGCGGCGACGCGGGCGGCGGCGCCGUCCCGCGCAGAUCCGGCGCCAAGGGCUCUUCUCACCCGCGCGAACAGUGGGGCCGGCGGUCGGCGUCGACGGCGGGUGGUGGGGUAGUCGAUCCGGUGAUGGCGUGCAGCGGGGAUACGGCGCUCCGGCGGCGGGCUAGGGUUCGGGUUUGUUGGUUUUUUUUUCCGUGAUUUUAUUUUCGCAUGCGGCUGGUAUAAGCGACCACAUGCGAAAAUCCCAUUUCGCAUGCGGUUGCGCCGGCCACAUGCGAAGAGCGUCAUUUUGGCAGAUCUUCUUGCCCAUGCGGUUGGCAACCGCUCCUUCUCGCCCGUAUGCAAAAAGGGGUUUUCGUAGUAACGAUAGCCAUACUCCGUCAACAUAUACACCGUGCUGGCGAUCCUCUGGCCAUCGCAGCCCUGCAGGUAGUGCCACCAUGCGGCCGACACAUGGACACCCUCCUUAGCAUGACAUUCCAUAUUUCUCGUCAUAUCAAAGUUUAAAGAAGUAAAGAACGACGGCAGAUAGCUAGCGAAUCAUCAAGACAUAUACAGAAGAACAUGGGAGUUGUUCAUCAUUUAUUCACCACACAUGCUUCCUAACAAAAGGAAACACUAAUUAUUUUAGGAGUAAAUUGCAUUCACGGUAUAUCAACUUGGCAAGUGGAUACAAUUUAGUGUAAGAUAAUAUCUACGGGAGCAAUAUAUUCUAAGAUAAUAUAAGACUUGUGCAAGAGGUUCUUAUUGCCAUCUAUGGAUGAGGGUUAUGCAUAUUCUUGCCAACUAUGGCCUUGUUUAGUUGGGGAAAAUUUUUGAGAUUGGUUGUUAUAUCGAAUAUACAGACACACCACUGGUGGAGAAACCAUCUUUCGUCGGUCGGCCGAAUUCCACAAUAGUCCCGGUUGCAAUAAAAACCAGGACUGUUGACGAAAAAAUCGAACACACCAGCCUGGGAGAUCUUCUUAGCUCCUGUGCAGGUCCAAAAAUUGAUGAGAUGCGGGCGUGCCAGUCAGUUUGAUCCUGCAACUGACAAGAUAUGCAAAUAGUAGAUCAAAACAGCCGAACGGCUGACAAGCCGAUGGAGUAGUUCCAGCCGAUGCCGAUAAUAGCCGAUGCCGAUACCAGCCGAUAGCGAUAGGAUUUAAGCAAUCGGCUAUAUAAAGGCAAUCGGCUACUGAUAAUAAAAUAUAACAAUAAUAUAGUCCAGUAUAAACCAAUCGGCUAGCAUUGAUAUGAUAGAAUAAGCAUUGAUAUGAAGGUUAGAGCAUACAUCAGCUGGAGGUCCGAUGUCAUGACAUCCACAAGAUUAGAUUAAACAGUGAAGCCUUUGUUGUCAUCGGCUAAAUCCAACUUAUAUGUAUAUGCAAUUCUUAUGAGCCGAUGCAACAUCCAGAUAACUCACCGGCUGAAACCCCGAUGAAACCCUUAUUGGCAAUCAAGAAGCAGGCUAGAUAUUAUGGUUCUAAGCACGACAUAGUAGAUCAAACUUAACUGAUACAGCACUAAGUAUGAAAAGAAACAUAAUAUCUAGACAAUCAAGCCGUUGACUGAGUUUUCAGGGUGGUAGAUGUCUAAGCUAAUCUAAUCUAGCAACGGGAUUUAGCCGAUACCGGCAGAAACCCUAAAACGAGAAGUAGUCGAUAGAGCUAAAUUGAUAUGCUAAGACUAGAUUAACAGAGACAUAUGAUAAAUAGGUAGGCAAGUAUAUCAUCCAAACCAGAGCAAUCCAAGAGGUCGAAUGUACUGAUGCAGCCUUGAACGACGCCGAUGUAGACGAUACAAUUGCCUGGGCUGGCGGAACAUUGGACUUACCCCUUAGCCGGAGAUCGAACACCGAUGCAGCCCCGCGUCAGGUGCCAAGUCCCGCCGGACAAUAAAAUAAAGUAGAAAAGGUAAAAGGUGGCGAUGCGCCGAAUUGUAUUGAUCGUGGAGAUAGAUUACAUAGACCCUGGGUGUACAUAUUUAUACCCAUGGGUUGAUACAAGUCCUUGUCGGACAAGAAAGAAGCUUUCCUAAAGAUAAAAGGAAAAGAUAAAGUCCUUAUAGGACACUAAACACACUUUCCUAAAGAUAAAAGGAAACUAACAAACUAUUUCUAAUUAAUAGAUAACUUGCCAUGCCGCAUUCUCUUUGAACUCGGUCUUUUCUGGAUAAGCUUCCUUUAGUAGAUCAAUUUCCUUAACCGAAUAUAGCAAGAAUCCGACAACUAACGACUUGACAACUCUCAUCGGCUAAUCGCAGGACUUCGAAGCCGAUGCUGACUCUAAGCCGAUGACUACUCCGGGUUUACCAAAUUUCACUGUUAACAGGCGUUAAAGAUGAUCUUUAGUCCCGGUUAAAAAGGGUAACGGGCAUAUUUGAUCUUUAGUCCCGGUUGAGUCAGGGCCUGUCAGGCCCCCCCCCCCCCCCCGGGAUCUUUAGUCCCGGUUGGUAACAAGUAUCUUUAGUCCCGGUUGGUGUUACCAACCGGGACUAAAGAUCACGGGGAUCUUUAGCCCCAGUUCAUAACACUAACCGGGACUAAAGUCUCACCCUUAGAUAUUCGUCUUCUUCCUCCUCUAGCUGCCCGAGCAAGCUUCAAAAUUUCUUCAAAAAAGAGGGGAGGUCAUGCCAAAAUUUCUAGUGAAUUUAUUUUGGUGAUUAUAUACAAAUCGGAGGUGCCUAAAAGGUUAGCAACUUCAUUCUCCAAUGUUUUCUUUGUCAUAUUAUAUUUGGAGCUAUGUUUUGCACACUUUUUUGUCUCCAAAAUUUAGUUGUAAGUUGAUGAGAGAGAAAAUUUGUGUGGGGAAGAAAGAAUAUAUAGAAAUUUAGUUUAUUUGCUAAAGAAGGUUUUAUAAAAUAGUUGAGAAGGAAAAUAUAGUGAAAGUUAAUCUUAAAUAAUAGAAAACAAACUAAAAUGAAAAUUAAAAGAAGUACAACACAUUAAUAUUAGUUUAAAACUUUAGAAAUAGUAAAUAAGAAUUAUUUGGUGUAAUAUUUUAUAAUUUUUGUAUGAAUAAUGAUAUGUCAUUAUUGUAUGACUGUUGAAAGAGUUUGUAAUUAUUUUAUAAUUAUUGUAUGACUGUCAUUAUUGUAAGAAUAAUUAUUUGUGUACAAUUUUUGUUCAUCUCAUGUAGAUGGAUCGGCAAUGGAUGUACGCUGACCGGUGGUCCAAAGAGGUUAUUGACGGCGUGCGUUAUUUUUUGAGAAUGGCCGAAGCUAACAGGCAUAAGGGUUUUAUUUGUUGUCCAUGCAAUAAGUGUAAGAAUCAGAAGGAGUAUUCUGCAUCCAGGACUAUUCAUUUCCACUUGUUUGAGUCGGGGUUCAUGCCAAGCUAUAACUGCUGGACAUCCCACGGAGAGCAAGGGGUUGAAAUGGAAGAAGAUGAAGUGGAAGACGACAAUAUUCCGGACUUUGGUCAAUACGCUGGAUUUGAAGGAAAUCAAACGGACGAGGAGGAAAGGGAUGUUGAUGGUAACGACAUUGCGGAUGAUCUUGGUUAGAUGUUGCAAGACGCCAAGGAGGACUGCAAAAGUGAAAAGGGGGCCCAUAAAUUGGACAAGAUGUUAGAGGACCACAGAACGUUGUUGUACCCAGGUUGCGAGCAGGGGCACAAAAAGUUAGGAUACCACUCUGAAGUUCUUGCAAUGGAAGGCCAAAAAUGGUUUUAGUGACAAGGCAUUUGGCGAUUUAUUGAAACUCAUCAAGGACAUUAUUCCGGAGGGAAACAAAUUGCCCGAGACAACGUACGAGGCUAAGAAGAUAGUCUGCCCUCUAUGACUGGAAGUUCAGAAGAUUCACGCAUGUCCGAAUGAUUGUAUCCUAUAUCGCGGUGAGGAGUACGAGAACUUAGAAGCAUGCCCUGUUUACAAAGCACUACGAUACAAGAUUAGACGAGACGAUCCAGGAGAAGUUGACGGGCAGCUAACAAAGAAGAGAAUUCCUGCUAAGGUAAUGUGGUAUUUCCCUAUAAUAUAACGGCUAAGGCGUUUGUUCAGGAACAAGGGGAAUACUAGAAUGAUGCGAUGGCACGCUGAAGAGCGUCAACAGGACGGGAUGCUGAGACACCCCGCCGAUGUUUCGCAAUGGCGGAACAUCGAAAUAAAUUUUAAAGACUUUGGAAAGGACGCACGAAACAUACGGUUUGGUUUAAGUACGGAUGGCAUGAAUUCUUUUGGAGAGAUGAGCAGCGGCCAUAGCACUUGGCCCGUUACGAUGUGUAUCUACAACCUCCCCCCUGGCUAUGCAUGAAGAGGAAGUACAUAAUGAUGCUGAUUAUUAUUCAAGGCCCCAAGCAACCUGGUAACGACAUUGAUGUAUACCUAAGACCAAUGGUCGAAGAUCUUAAACUGUUGUGGAAAAAGGAAGGUGUCCCGUGUGGGACGAGGACAAACAGGAGGAGUUUAACCUACGAGCGCUGCUGUUCGUAACCAUCAACGAUUGGUCUGCACUUAGCAACCUUUCCGGUCAGUCCAACAAGGGGUACAAGGCUUGCACUCACUGUAUGGAUGAAACAGAAAGUACGUAUCUUAAGCACUGUAGGAAGGUUGUGUACAUGGGUAAUCGUCGAUUCCUUGCUGCAAACCACCCGGUACGGAAGAAAGGCAAUCACUUUGAACAUAAGGCGGACCACCGUGCGAAGCCUAAACAUCGCAGCAGUAAAACAAUGUUUGCUAUGGUUAAAGAACUUAAAGUAGUGUUCGGAAAGGGGCAUAGAAGCCAGCCUAUAGAGAGCGAAGAUGGUCACGCGGCGAUGUGAAAAAAGAACUCUAUAUUUUGGGAGUUACCCUAUUGGGAAUUCUUGGACGUCCGCCACGCAAUCGACGUGAUGCACCUCACUAAGAACCUUUGCGUAAACCUUCUUGGCUUCCUAGGUGUAUAUGGAAAGUCGAAAGAUACACUAGAAGCACGUAAUGAUCUAAACCAUAUGGAACAACGCGGCGACCUUCACCCAGAACCAAAGGAGAAAGGAAGCCAUUACUUGAGUCCAGCCAGCUACACUAUUAGCAAGGCAGAGAAGGAAAGUAUGUUUGAAUGCUUGGAGCACAUAAAGGUACCGUCUGGAUACUCCACGAAUAUCAAGCGAAUAAUAAGCACGAAGGAGAAGAAGUUCACAAACCUAAAGUCUCAUGACUGUCACCUGUUGAUGACACAACUGCUACCAGUUGUAAUAAGGGGUAUCCUUCCAGACUAUGUGCAUUCAUGAACACAAUUUCGCAGAAGGUCAUCAAUCCGGAUAGAUUAGAAGCCCUUCAGAAUGAUGUGGUGCAUUGUCUUGUCAGUUUUGAGUCGAUAUUUCCACCUUCAUUUUUCAAUAUAAUGACGCAUCUGCUUUGUCACCUUGUCAAAGAGAUCAGUAUUCUCGGGCCUGUGUACCUACACAACAUGUUUCCUUUCGAGAGGUACAUGGGCAUUCUAAAGAAGUAUGUUCGUAACCGUGCUCGUCCAGAUGAAAGCAUCGCCAAGGGGUAUGGAACAGAGGAGGUCAUCGAAUUUUGCAUAAAAUUUAUUGAAGACCUUUGCCCAAUCGAGGUACCUGAAUCACGACAUGAAGGGAGACUAUGGGGAGAGGGAUCUCUCAGAAGGAAAGCAAUAAUGGCGGUAGACAACAAUUUAUUCCGUAAAGCCCAUUUCACGGUUCUGCAACAAUCUUCAUUGGUAGCUCCUUACAUCGAGGAGCACUUGGCUCUAGUUCGCGUCAUAAACAUCGGUAAGUCCGAUGCAUGGAUUACACGGCAUCACAUUGAUACUUUCCCCGCGUGGCUACGACAACAUCUCAUGGGUAACGAGACGAUCAACCAACAACUUGUGACAUCCCGGCCUAGGGCUUAAUAGGAUUAAUAGAAUACUCAUAUCAACAAGUUGCAACUUCUUUUCCGGAAGCCGGUCUCGAAAGAACUCUUAGGUUAAGCGUGCUUGGCCUGGAGCAAUUUCGGGACAAAGUGUGCAGAAAACACUCACUAGUAGUGUGCACGAGUGAGGACAAAGUGUGCAGAAAACACUAGCGUUGGUCUGUGAGGGUAGUCUAUGUCCUAGGGAAGCUGCUAGAUGUAGAGAGGGCCCGGUCUCGGAGAGUGUGGGGCGUCACACAACUGGCCUUCCUGGCGGGGCCCGGUCUCGGAGAGUGUGGGGCGUCACACAACUGGCCUUCCUGGCGGGGGGACCAUCUGGGUCGAUCACGACAUUCCAAGGAUGGAUUAGGUUGACUGGUGGAGGUGUAAUGAUUGAUGACAGUGGGAUGACAACGGUUGACCUUAACAAGGUUGGAUACUCGGACAAACAUUUUGUCCUUGCCAAUGAUGUAACGCAAGUCUUUUACGUGAAGGACAUGUCUAGCAAAGGAAAGAAGGGCAGAGGACCUGACGAGCCGAAGCGUCACGUGGUUCUCCCAGGCAAAAGAAAAAUUGUCGGAGUUGAGGACAAAACUGACGAGGAUUACGAUCAGUUGGAUGGGCAACCCCCUUUCACGGUGACGAUUGACCCUAGCAUCCUUCUAUCAAAUGAAGACACCCCUUACUCACGUAGCGAUCACAAGGAGGGAACAAUAAUGAGGAGAAAGUACGUGCGGUCAACCGUCACCUUCGAUGUAUUGCCGUAAUUAUUGUGUACACGAUGUAAUCUAUUUUGGAUGUAUUGAUUAUCCAUAUAAAUCAAUUGUUGUAUGGCAUAUGUUAAUUACGUACGAUGAUUAGAGGUUUGAACAAUAUUAAAUCAUGUAAUUGCUAGUUAUAUGCGAUAAUUAGAAUUUUUAAAAGUUUUAAAUCAUGCAUGUGGCAUUUACAUAUGUUACUGAGAGUUUUUAACAAUUUUAAAUCAUGCAUAUGCUAGUUAUAUGCGAUAAUUGGAAUUUUUAAAAGUUUUAAAUCAUGCAUGUGACAUUUACAUAUGAUACUUAGAGUUUUUAACAAUUUUAAAUCAUGCAUAUGCUAGUUAUAUGCGAUAAUUAGAACUUUUAAAAGUUUUAAGUCAUGCAUGUGGCAUUUACAUAUGUUACUUAGAGUUUUUAACAAUUUUAAAUCAUGCAUAUGCUAGUUAUAUGCGAUAAUUAGGAUUUUUAAAAGUUUUAAAUCAUGCAUGUGGCAUUUACAUAUGUUAAUUAGAGUUUUUAACAAUUAAUUUAAUAUCAUUCAUAUGCUAAUUAUAUAUGAUUAUUUGAAUUUUUAUUAAUUUUAAAUCAUGCAUGUCGUAUGUAUUUACAUAUAUUAAUUACAGUUUUUAACAAUUAAUUUAAUAUCAUUCAUAUGCUCAUUUUAUAUGAUUAUUAGAAUUUUUAUUAAUUUUAAAUCAUGCAUGUCGUACGUAUAUACAUAUGUUAAUUAGAGUUUUUAACAAUUAAUUUAAUAUCAUUCAUAUGCUAAGUAUAUAUGAUUAUUAGAAUUUUUAUUAAUUUUAAAUCAUAUAGGAGUAUUUGCUUACUACGUUUUAUCCACUUAAUGUACUACAGACAACAAUAAUUUUUCGAAGUAAUUGUCAUUAAUUUGAACACAUUAUUUUCUAUUUUAGAAACACAUAUGUAAUGGAAAUUAAUAUUCAGUGCGCUUAUCAGUAGUCCCGGUUCUUAACUCUAACUGGGUUUAAAAAGAAAUUGGAAAUAGCGGGAAAAUAUCUUUACUCCCGGUUAUUCUCAUCAACCAGGACUAAAGAUCUAGAGGUAUAUAUAUUCCCGAUGCGCGCCUUCGUCUUCUCCACCAACACUUAGAAGUUUUUUCCCCAAUCAAUUUCUCUCUCGGCUUCUCCUUCGCCGCCACUACCUAGAGCAUCCCCGCGCCGACGCCGCCGUCGUAUCUCGCGGUCGUCUCGCGCGCGUUGUCGUUGCCGCCUCCGCCGCCGUCGCAUCUCUGGGGUGAGAGCCGCCGCCACCUCCCUCUCUCUCUCCGACCUCGAUCUCUCUCUCUCCCCAAACAGCCGCCGGCCGCCUCGUUGCCGACGCCGCCGCCGACGUCGUCGCGGCCGAACACGACUCCGCCGCGCCGAUGAUGACUAACUUGUCACGCCCGGAAAUUCACUAGUAAUUUCCGAACUUAUUUGUGCAUAAAAUCCUCGUCCAGGAAUCAGCCGAGGUACACAAACUGACAAUUUAAUAUACAGAUUCAUCAAAUUAGCUAAAACGAUAAAUACUUACUUAAGAGGCACUUAGUCCUCACCAUGAAGAAAACUGCAGCGGAAAAUAAAAUCUAGCGAAGCUCCGGCUCCACUCCCACAGGCAGCUCAACUGGGGUAUAAGCCAAACGUCUUCUCCUUCUGGAUCAUUUUCUUCAACUGAGGUUGAUUGAUUAUUGAAAGAAUUAGCAUAUGACAUACUCAACAAGCCACACAGCAAAUAUGCAAGUGCACAAGGAUACCAAAGGAUGGCAUAAUAUAGGCUCAUUUGCAAAAACAGCAUUUAGCAAAACAUUUAAGAGAAGUAAAACAGUGGAGUAAUUAAUCAGAAAUUUUAAUCAACACUGAACAACAUACCCAUGCUGCACAGGCCCAACCAUCCUGAACAACCAUACCCGGCUGUACAGAUCUAACUCCAAACCAGGAGCUAAGCAAAUUAUUACCAGGUAUAACAUCCAUAAUUAUUGUGAGAGGUGUGAGACUAAUCACGAAAAACAUUGCUCAACCCGCCCAUAACCGCGGGCACGGCUAUUCGAAUAGUUUUACUCUGGCCAGAGGUGUACCACUGUACCCACAAGACACAGCCCCACGACAUGUCACAAUGUGCCUCAGUACCACCACGGUACCUCGGAAAGGAGCUGUGACAUUACCCCUUGCAUAACACAACCCACCACAGUGCACCGUUCCUGGAUCAUAAUCACCCCCUCAAAAACCAGAGGCAUGGACUCCCCAGCGACCCCCGUGGGCUUAUCUCCGCCACUUCUCAGUCUGGUGCUCUGCAAUGAACCAUGCUAUACGAAAGGUAAAGCCGUUGCCCACGCUGGCUUGUGGUUGGCACGGUUAAUGUUUCACAACAGUAGCUCGCGAACCGGUCCUUAAUUGCCAUGAGCACGACUCUCAAAACCAUGUGCUCACAACCCACCAUUAUCAAGAUUUAGUUGGCAAGUAAUUAAUUAACCAAUCACGAUUGACCAUCGUGAACUAUCAUUAAGCCAUCAUUAAAUAAUAGUGAGUCAUAAGUUAUCCCAAUAGUGUGCUAAUGUUUCUAAGCAUGGCUAAGCAAUCAUAACUAAUAUCUAGCUGAACCAAUAUAUAAAGCCCAACUAGUCAAGUUAUAAUAACCCAAGGUAUCAAGGAAUAAAGUAAUCAAUGCAAACAGGCCAUAACAAAGGAAUAGGUUCACACCACCCAGUGACAUUCGAAAAUAAAUGCACAGUUGAAAUAAAUAGAGAAUUUAAAUAUAGGAUCAACAUGCUCAAAGGAUUGUGUUUAGGAUCUGUGUGACUUGCCUUGCAAUAAUCGGUCUUCAAUUAAUCUUCUUGAAUACUUCCGGCGCACUCACGAACCUCCGCAACGACGGAAACGACAAGCUAACACGCAAAACGAAGAAAAAGGCUAAUAAAAACCAAAUAAACAGUACAUAUAAAGUAAACAAACAUGUAGAUCAUGAUUUUAGAUGAAUUUAGCAACUUGAACCACUCAAAACCGAGUUACGAUGAUUUAGUUAUGAAUUUCCGAAGAUUUAAUCUAUUAGAAAAACAGGAAAAAGAAAAACGAUGAUGACGUCAUGAUGACCUCAUCAAUAGCCGGACCAAGAUGGCGACCUCGCCGGAGAUUGGAUGGUCGGCUGCGACUUUGGAGGACAUGUACACGUAGAGGACGACGAGACGAACCCAACGGUACUCACCCUCGAACCAAACGACGAACGACGACGGCCGACGACGAGGUCUAGCGGCGGCGCGGCUUCGGUCGACGGCGGCGACGGGGCUCCGGUGAUCGGCAACAGCGGGGAGAGAGCGGCCGGGCUUCUCCACACCUCGGCGUACCUUACGGCGGUGACGGCGGCCGGCGGCGACGACGGAGGCGGCGGCACGACGCGGAUGGAGCUCGGCCGGCGACGACGGCGGGGUGGAGCACGUGGCGGCGGCGCUACGAGGCACGGGAGACCACGGGAGAGGGGGCACACGAAAGAGGAGGACUAGGGGGUCCUAUUUAUAGCCUUGGAUUGAAGAGAUCGGACUCCUCCCGCAAGAAAUCGAUCCGGGAAAUCAAAAACUCGGUUUUGGAGAUAAACUCGAAAACGAGUUCGAUUCGGAUAAGAUACUCAACGAUUAGCUCCGAUUUUUGGGGGUAAAGAUAGAGGAGGAUAAGAGGAAUAUUUCCCCUCAACUAAUUUUAGAAAAAGGAGCAACGAGAGGCGAGAUUUUGGAAGGGGAUCGGCGGCAACAGGCACGGCACGGCUCUGCUCUGGCUCUGUCCAGAGCUGGAAGAUGAACAGUAGCGCAGGGAGGAAAAGUAGACUUCUUGCCGGGCUUUUCUUUUCUCAGCCUGUUUAGAAGAGGGAGCAAUACCAGACUUUGGCUAAGAGAAGAAAAGAGAGGAUGCAGGCUCGGGUUGGGCCGGUGGAAGAGAGAGGAAGGAAAGGAAGGAAUGGGCCGAAAAUGGCCCAAGCUGAGGAGGAGGAUUUUAUUACUUUUCCAAUUAAAAUAAUCACUUAAAUGAUCUUUGAAUUGUUAAAAAUACUUCCAAUGCUCAAAUAAUUUCAAGAAAAAUCCUGAAAAUACUUGGACACUCAAAGUACAUAAAAAAUUACAAUUAGACCAUUUAAUGAUUAAUUUAAUAUGUGGGUAAUUACUUAAAUGCUCUUUGUAUGAUUAAAAAUUACGAAUUGAGCUCCGAAAAAUCCGAGAAUAUUCCAGAGAGUAUAAUUAACCAUGGAGAAUUUAAUAAAAAUUAAAUCCAUCCAUGCUUUAUAUUUAGGAAAUUUUAUUUCCCACAUUUAACUUCACUUGUAAAUUAAUGAACAUUUAAUAUAAAUUCUAAUAAUAAUUUAUUAAAUAAUUUAUAAAUCCUGAAACAAAAAUCAGGAUGUGACACCAACCCUGACCUCGAUGCUGCCACCACCGGCGACGACGUCGCGCCGGCAGUGCCGACGAAGCUGCGCGCACCACAACGCCGGGCUGCGCCACGCCUCCGCGGCGGCACGACGCCGAGACACCACGACGCCGCCGCGGCACGCCCUCGCCGCGCCGCCACGCCGCCACCGCGCAACGCCGCCGCUGCGCCACGUCGAUGCCGCGCCGCCACGCUGCCGCCGCGCCAAGCCGCAGCCGCGCCGCCACGCCGCCGCUCCGCUGCCGCCACGUGAACGAACGAACGAUCGUGAACGAGAACGAAUGAACGAACAUGAACGAGAACGUGAACGAACGAACGAACGUGAACGAACAUGAAGAUUUUGGAAUACAAGAAUUUAUUAAUGACACCGGGCUAACUACGGAUCAAUUGCUACGAGGUGCACCAAUCAAAAAGGCGGAAGUGAAAUACAUGUACGAACUCGGUAAACCGCUUGUCAAGCCUGAGCAGCUGCAGUCCCUACCCACACAAAUGUACAAGUUCCAUCAACUGUACAUGGAGAUGAGCGCCACCGGUACAGAAAUGAUCGGAGCGAGGAUCAGGGACACGGACUUCUUGCAAGGAGAUGACAUUCUCUGGAUCAAUUUCAAGGGUAUCUACGAACUAUACCAGCUGGAUGCCCUCGACGUCUCUAUUAUGAGUUGCUGGAUUUUGUAAGUAUCGUUCAGUUAGAUUUCUUAUUAUGUUUCCUUUAAUUAGUUAGGUCCUUGUAUAUAAGUAGACUACAUAUAAUAUAUACUUCCUUUUAUUGUUGUAGAAUGGAGAUUCAAAGGGCCCGGCGGCGGGGGGUUUUCGAUACUGGAUUCAUCGACCCUCGGAAAGUAAACGUCGCAAUGCUCGACCAGUAUCCGCAAGCCACAGAGGACAAUCUCGUCCAUCUCUUGAAGGCGCAGCAUUACAAGACGUUCAUACUAUUACCGUACAACACAGAGUUAGUUUAAUUUUACUGUCUUCCUAUACCAAAUUUCAUUCCGUACGAACAUGCUAAGUGUUUCAUAUGUAAUGCAUCCCACGCACAUUGCAGAUUCCACUGGGUCUUUUUACUCUUCAACCUGGAGGCCUGCACCGUCAACGUAUAUGACUCAAUGGAUAAAAAAGAGUCUAUGUUUGACAAGGUUUUCGAACUUAUAGACAGGUACUGUCAUAAGUUCCUAUGUUAAUUAAGAAUCUUGUUAUAAUUAAUUGCUACUACGAAUCAUAGCUUUAAACUCCAUGUAGGGCUUGGUAUCGAUUCCGUCAUUUGGUCCGCAGUAAAUGGAGAGAAAGACUUAGGCGGAAGUUCAAUUUUCCUGUGAGUACACAUGCUUUACAUUUAUAUUGAAUCUCCAAUUCAAAUACAUACAAGUGUAUAUUAAUUAGAUCUCUCACCGUUUAUCAUUUAUUUAUAGUGCACAAAGCAAAAGCAGGGAACUAACUUGUGCAGCUGCUACGUGUGCGAGUAUUGCCACUGCCUUGUAGACCAAAUCAUCACCGCAAGAGAGCUCGAUGUACGUACAAAUAAAUUCUAAAUUUCAUUGCGUACGUAUCGAUUUGUUGUUUAAUUACUAAUUAAUUUCAUACAUUAAUAUAGUUUAUUCGCAUGAGGGAUAACCUGAUCACACACAAGGAAUUUAUCGCGGUGGUUCAAGAACAACUCAUGGGAUUUAUCAAUGAACAAAUCCUUGAUCCCAAGGGUGAAUUCUACUACGACAGAAAUACAAUUCAUAGGUCCUUAGCUUCUGAGAUAACGACUACUACUACGUCGAAAUCGUAGCUAGCUAGGACAUCAUAAUAGAUUGUAAUUAAUACAUGUCUAUUUUUCUAUAUGCAUGUACACAUUUUCUUUAAUGUAAAUAUAUAUUUUAGUCAUAUAUAUAUGCACAUAAAAUGUUAAGUGCUUUCAUAUAUAUAUAUAUAUAUAUAUAUAUAUAUAUAUAUAUAUAUAUAUAUAUAUAUAUAUAUACCUAUGCAUUUGCAUAACAUAUAUAUGUAUAAAUACAUAUAUAUUAUGCAUGUAUAUGUACUGAAACAUAUAUAAAUAUAAUAUAUAUAUAUAUAUUAUAUGCAUAUAUAUAUGUAUUAAAACAUAUAUAUGCAUGGUUUUUAUAUAUAUAUAUAUAUAUAUAUAUAUAUAUAUAUAUAUAUAUAUAAACCAUGCAGCAACAGGGCCAUGAAAAAAAAAAGGUCAGCUCGACUUUAGUCCCGGAUUGGUAGUCCCGGUUUGAAAACCGGGACUAAAGGGGGGUUACGAACCGGGACUACAAACGCUUUCUCCACCAGUGCACAUUUGAAGUAUUAAACGUAAUCUAAUAACAAAAUAAAUUACAGAUUCCGUCAGAAAACUACGAGAUAAAUUUAUUAAGCCUAAUUAAUCCGUCAUUAGUAAAUGUUUAUUGUAGCACCACAUUGUCAAAUCAUGGCGCAAUUAUGCUUAAAAGAUUCGCCUCGUAAUUUACACGCAAUCUGUGUAAUUGGGAUUUUUGCCUAUAUUUAAUACUCCAUGCAUAUGUCCAAACAAUCGAUAUGACACUGUAAAAAUUUUUGUUUUGGGAACUAAACCAGCUCUAUGGAUGAGGGUUCUUAUUGUUGUCUUUAGGCUGGUUGAGUACUGGUAGUGUAAGUGGUAGUUUUGUUGUUUCUAUUCGAGUUGUGAUUUUAUAAUUUUGUAACCAUAUUCGACCUAUAAUCGCUGUGUAAUAAUUGAUUGUAGUUUCUUUUGAAACCAAGACCAAAAAUAGACGACCGUUAAUUAGUAUUUGUGAAGAAGAAAAUACGUACACCAUUAAUGGUUUGGUAUGAACUCCACGGCAUGGAAGAACGAACACAAGACAAAUAAGGCUGAGACAUUUUUUUGGCUGCGAUCUUGCUUGCUGCGCCGUUUUCUGGUGUUUAUCAUUCUCCACUUAUUAAUGGGCAAACAAGGGGCCAAUUACAUGCAUAUAUAUGACAUAACGUGUACUUUAAAGCCGCCCGAGAGUUCACAAGAAAUCGUGCCAUCCCAGGAUCGAUCACGCGUACGGCCGCUAGGUCACAACAGUUACAAACACUGAAACACACACUGAUGUAGAAAUUGAAGCCUGAUCGACGUGAACAGGAACGAUGACACGAAACAAUUAAAAUAAUUAAACAAAGUAGUGUAGUAAAGUUUACGCCAGAAGUUGUACCAUUAAGUAGUAUUACUGCAUAAUAAGAGGGGCGGCGGCGGUGAUGGGGACGCUGUGGAGAACGAUAGUCUCGACGGUGAGGCCAGGACCGAAGCCGAAGAGGACGCCCCAGUCCAUGCCCUCGCCGGUGGUGGCGUGGCCGUCGUCGGCAGAGAGCUUGCGCAUCUCGUCGAGGACGAAGAGGACGGUGGCGCUGGCCAUGUUGCCGUACUCGGAGAGGACGUUGCGGGAGGCGCGCAUGCGGGCCUUGUGGAGGGCGACCUUCUCCUCAACCUGGUCGAGGAUGGCCGGACCGCCCGGGUGCACCACCCAGAAGAUGGAGUUCCAGUCGUGGACGCCGAGCGGCAUGAAGGCGUCGGUGAGCGCGCCCUCGACACUGUCGGAUAUGAACUCCGGGACGUCCUUGGGCAGGUGGAAGGUGAGACCCACCUCGCGGAGGUGCCCCACGAUGGCGUCCUCCGUGCCCGGCAGGAUGGUCUGGCUCGCCGACACAAUCUGGAACAGCGGCCGCUCAUCGGCUGCCUCGUCGGGGUCAGAGCCGACGAUCACCGCCGCUGCGCCGUCGCCGAAGAGCGCGUGCCCGACGAGGGAGUCGAGGUGCGACUCGGACGGCCCCCGGAAGGCCAUCGCCAUGAUCUCCGAGCACACCACCAGCACCCGCGCGCCGCGGUUGUUCUCGGCCAGGUCCUUGGCCACGCGCAGCACCGUGCCACCGGCGAAGCACCCCUGCUGGUACAUCAUCAGCCGCUUCACCGACGUGGGUAGGCCCAGCAUCUUGGCCACCUGGUAGUCGGCUCCGGGCAUGUCCACUCCGUUGGUCGUGCAGAACACGAGGUGGGUGAUCCGCGACAUCGGCUGCCCCCACUCUUUGAUCGCCUCCUCGGCUGCCGCCUUCCCCAGCUUGGGCACCUCCGCCACCACCAUGUCCUGCCUCGCGUCCAGCGACGGCGCCGUGAACACGCACAUGCUAGGGUUCUCCUGUAGGAUCUCCUCAGUAAGAUGCGUGUACCUCUUCCGUAUCUGCGAGCUUUCACCUGCAUAUAUCAUGGAUGCGCGAUAUUAAUUUGCACCUGCGCUAUUUUAAUCUUAAUUAUUAUUAAUUAUUAUUGUUAUACGGUUUAGAUAGGGUGAAAUUUACUCUGGAAAUUCGCUUAAAUUUUUUUAGAAAAUCACGAGCUGCAAUUAGGAGUCCGACUAUCGUCUCAAGUUAAUGUGCGAGUUUUUUUAAGAAAUAUUUCUUAUACGACUCCUUUUGUAUUUCAAAAAAUGAACAAACAAUAAAAUUGACUCAAACACGAAUCUAUAUUUCCAAAAGCGAACGAAAUUACAAACCGACUCAAAUAAAAAUGACAUACCAAAAUACCGACAAAAACAUGAUCAGUUUUUAUAAUAGAAGUGAUGGCGCAGUACUUUAAUUUCUAUAAAGGGAUUCACCUUUCACUUAUUUAGACUAGAUACAGUAUGUGUACUAGUAUAAUAUAGAUGCAAAUUAACUGAUUACUCAUUAGUGCUUACACAUCCUCUGGAACCUCUCCUUCAGGUUGGUUAGGUGCUCGCUGUUGGUGACCCUGAAGUAGUAGUCCGGGUAGUCGGUCUGGUACACGCAGUUAGCCGGCGUUGCCGUCCCGAUCGCUAGCACCGCCGCCAUCCCCUCCGCUCUUUGCAUCCUCCUAACCUCCUCCAACUUCACUGUUGAUGUCACCAUCUCCCCACUCACCGGCGGCUAAUCGUACCUAGCUAGGAAUGUAGUGUAUAUCUUGGUAUAACUGAGGGUACUAGCAGCUAGCUUGUUCGCCACAACGAAAAUGCAUGUGCGCUAGCUAGCUGCUGCCUCUCAGCCCGGCUGAUUCGAACAAAUGGUCGCAGCUAAGUUAUUUAUAGGGGUGAGCUGCACGUUUGUCUGCCAGAACGUUGUACCCUUUUCCAAUUUUCCUAACAAUAAUAUAUCUCCGUUGAAUUUGUGUGACGAUACUAUUUUUUUUUCUGAAAACGUGUUUAAUUAAGAUUCAUUGAAGUUUGAACAAAAGUUUCAAUUCGAUCUCAUAAGAUAUAUUCUUUUCAGCUGCAAAAACCAGUACUUUAAUAUAUAUACGAAUAUAUUGGUGUAAUUCUUGAACUAAAUAUAUUUGUAAUCUAACUAAACAGGAAGGAAGCAUGCGCACACAAACGUGGACAUCUUAUUUAAAGUUUCUUAAAAUUUUGCUAGCCUAACAUAUGCAUUUUUGUGCGUGGAUGACCUUUUUUGGAAAAAAAACAUAUUAUUUCAUUCUAUAUAUUAUGAACCUGCUAUCUUAUUAACGAGUUAUGAUUUUUUUAAGAAAAACAGUACAAAUGCACACGCUCAUAAUAUGCGCACAAUGACCCCUACGAGCACACACGCACACUACCCUACCUCUACGAGCACCUUUGAAAGACUGAGACGACAUAUGUUGGGAUUUACAAAUUGACCACAAGUGCCUCGAUGUAGACAGGUACGUUGGCUACUACUACAACAAUAGUUAGCCGUAAUCACAAACACCCGCGUAUCAAAGUCUAGGACAUAAAACCGGGUGGGUUGGUUCUACCAAAAAAACCUAACAAGUUGAGCUAUACUCACUUCGCGAUUUUCUUCUAAUUAUCCUCACAGAACAUAUAUAAAAUCUAAAGCAUAAUUAUAUUGAACCAUGGAAUCUUAAAUUGAUGAGAAAAUUAUUGUGUCGGAGUUGAUCCUAUGAAAUUAUCAUUUCUAUGAUAAGUGUUUCUUUUUUAAUUGAAUAUAUUUAGCACACUCUUUUUAUAGUAUAUAUACUUUGAGCAACUCCGGUUUACAUACACACACAUAGGACAUAUAUGGGCACCCGGGCACCAUAAUAUGAAAUACACAAAUUCGUCUAAAUUUUUCAAAAUUUUCUAUAUAUCUAGUUAUAAGUAUUCGAUUCAUACCUAUACCUAGCAACAAAACAACUCAAAUUUAACUUUAUAUAUAUAUAUAUAUAUAUAUAUAUAUUAAAAUUAACUGGGGCUUCAUGGGGCCCGGCCAACAUGAUUAAAAAUUGAGUAUGUACCUAAUGCUAAUGAGUCUGAUUUUUUUAAAAAAAUGUUUAGUUAUGAACAUUAACUUAUUUACUAGCUAGUUCAAACAAGUUUGAACUAAAUUUGAAUAUCUUUUUGUUAAAUUUUGAUUGUAGGUAUAUAGGAUCUAAACUUAUAUAUAAUUACUUAGGUAUGUAAUAAUGGAUUGUAAAAUAAAGUUUAAUUUAAGUUGAUUUAUUGCUUUGGUAUGAAUCAAAUUCUUAUGACUAAAUAUACACUCACAAUUUAAAAAAUUAUAUUUUUCAGUGUUUGUGCGCGCGCGCUAGUAAUAACUAACCAUUCAAAUUAAGAACCUAACCACCUAACCAUCGUACGUGAGAUUCAAACUUAGGUGAUAUGUGUGCAUAAGAUAUAUAGCAAAACAAUGUAACCACCACACAACUUGUCAACUUGUGGAUGUACAUGACGUACCCACUCUUCUUUUUGGAGUAUACGAGGUCAGCGCCAAGCGUUAUGGUGGUCAAUCCAUUGCAUCUUCUCGCGCAUCACCGUGAGGCCUUAUUCGGUUAAUCCUUAUGAGAGAGGAAUUGGAGGGGAUUUAUUUCACACCUAUUAUAGUCUGGAAUUAUUCCCCCUUAAUCCUCUCCAAUCGCCCUCUAAGCUGAAUAACGCCUGACGGGGUUAGCGGCAUCGAUCAGGGACGAUGCUGAGCUAUUGGACCUCAAUGCCAUACGGCCCCUGAGCUCAUGUUAUUUUUGCUGAAGAUUUUUACACGGUUUAUUUCAAAAUAAUUUUUCUAAAAGAUUAAUAAUUAGUCAAAAUUUCGAUGGACUUAUAGGCGGAAAAAUAUGUGUACAUGCGGAUGAGCCACCUGCGCCUCUACCAAAUUGCCAUAACCACAUGUAAAAAUCAAUUUUUGCAGGUGGUUAGGUUAAGCCGAGCAACUUGGGAGGUGAUUUUCGGUGAAAACAAAUAAUAUAGCUCAAAAAUAUCCAGAUGCAGUGCCAUUUCCUGCUCGUCCCAUUUCUACGGAUCCACACCACUGCAAAUCAAUAUCAGACACACCGCAAAUCCAAAGUCGAGAGUAAACUUCCACAUCACCAUAACAAUGCUCAACACAUAUAUAACGCAAUUCCAUAACAAAUUCACAUUUAUCUCAUAGCGAAAUAAAAGCGAAGUGAACAUAGGUCAAGGCUGCAGCAAAGCUUGCCGUUAUCGAGCUCAGCAUUGGCCCCUUUCUCCCACUGCCUUGAUCAUCAGCCUCCAUCUCAGCGCUCCUGCCAUGUACCUUGAUCUGGAUCUAGCUAGAGGUGGUAGUGGUGUGGUGGAUGCGAAGGAAGAAAGGGGAUAAGGCAGGGUGAGGCAACCUCCGGUGGACCGGUUGCUUAUGAGCCUUUAGGAGACCACAAUUGUCGUCAUCGUUUAACAAACCCUAUCGGCAGCAGAUCUGCCACUCCCAAGUCCACUGGAGGUUGAAGUUGUCAGCGGGUGCCUAGAGCCCACCAACAGGCGGUGAAUCCACCGCUCCUGAGUACGCAGGAGGCCGUAGCAAUCGGCAGCGCCUGCCGAGCCUUGUCAGCAUCGGUGAUCAUGUCGUUGGCUAUGAUUGACGAUGGCCUUGCGAAGCCUGCCAGCUGAGAGGCGCAUCGGUGAUGGGAGAGGGCGUAGAGGAAUUAGAGGGAGCAGAUCUCGACUCAAUCGUCCUAUCACACAAAUAAAUAUACAUGGUAGUCGUGUUACUGCACAUUGACCGUAACGUUACUACGCCGUUCCAGCGUGAUGAGAACUAAAAAAAAGUAAAUCUCAAUCUUUAGAGAGCAAUAUCUCUCACAUUAUAUAGUAUUUUUCUAAUUCGUCUGCACCAUGAUUUCUGUAAAAAAGUGCUUAACAAAACUAUUUUUCGAUGUUGUUGCUGCGAGAAAGUUGUCCUGUUACUACACGAUAACCGUUAUGUUACUGCGGGAUUCCUGCGAGACGUGAACAGCAAAGUGGUGGGUGGGAGAGGGAGUCAAUGGGCGGGUUUAACUCGGGUUUGACCGGCGGGAGGAGGCUUUGACUAGCCUUUGACUGAGGUGGGAGGGGAGAUUUGGGCCAUAUGAAUGGUGGGGGAGAUGGGAUUGGCCCAUGGGAGGGGGGUGUAGAAUAGUUAUUCUAGGGGAGGGGUGUAGAAUAGAUUUGCUAUAUAUAAUAAUCUAGGAUGGGAUGAAACCCAUCCACAUUUUGGAACGGAGUUAGUAGAAGUUAUAAAAGUUGCACCUCAACUUUCCGGAGGGAGUGUAAGCCAACUAUAGCUUAUGCCAAGACGAGAUAAAAAAAAUGAGAAGUGCUAGCUCUUAUGCAAAAUCUAGCUCUACGCAUGCUCCAAAGCAAAUGCAUUAGUUACAUAGGCGAGGGAAAAAGAGGAAAACAAAAAUAGGGCAACAUUACAACUAAAAUAUAUAUAUGGUAGGUUUAAUAUGGACUUAUUGUUUGAAUUAAUAGAUCGGUCUUAGCCCAUUCGAAGUUUAAUUCUUUGGAAAAUCAUAAAAGCCCACCUCAUGGGAUAUCAUGCAUGGGGAGUUUAGUACCGCCUUGCCUAUUCAAUGAGAGGAAGACCUCCUUUUAAGAGAGGAUGCUCUUCUAGCCACUUGAGGCAUGUGAGGCGGAGAGAACAGGGGGAACACGUGCUCCUGACAUGUCAGUUUAACUCGGGUUUAAUAUGGACUUAUUGUUUGAAUUAAUAGAUCGGUCUUAGCCCAUUCUAGGAGAGGAUGCUCUCCUAGCCACUUGAGGCAUGUGCGGGAAAUUCAUAUUUGUUUUUUUUGGAAACACUCGGAAUAAUCUGAUGAGUGAAACGGUGUGGAGUCCGUUUUGCUGCGGAAAAUUCAGAUUUUUUUUUUUGGAAACACUCCGAAUAAUCCGAUGUGUGAAACGGUGUGGAGUUCGGAUAAGUUACGCGUGACUUAUCUGGUUCGGUUCGGUUAUGCAGAGUGGAGAUCGUGUAGGCGCCCUGAUCAAGUGUCCUGAUAUCUCUAUAUAAUUUGAGCCGCCACCUCCUCGCAACAUACGUGGAAUCAAUCUUGGGUUGGCCUCCUCCUCCGUACUACGUUGUUGUUUGUAGUCUACUCCAUCCCACUCGCCGGUGCUCAAUGGCAAUCGGGAGAGCAGCUCUCCGAAACCUGCGCCUUCUACGUUUUGCACUAGAAGAAGGUAGCAAUAAGAUUUUUGGGUUUUUGGGAAGCGCUCCACGCGACUGCUCCCUAUUCGUUCAUACGGCUCGUCUUCCUCUUCGCUCGCGUGCUGUGCGCUACCGUUAAGGGACGGUACCGUGAAUUCUUCCUGCCGAGCAACCGGAUUUCCAAAACCAUCGGUAUCAACAUGUUUCGCAUCUUCGAUCUGUUCAUCCUUUACUGUCUUGUUUACAUGUAUAGAUCCUAUGAUGUGAUUAUACUAGUUUACAUCGACAAUGUCAUGAUUUAUUUAUGUAUUUAUGGAACAAAUUAAAUCAUUACGUGCUUAUAUAUUCAACACUUAUAUCUACUAGUAUUAAACUUGCUCAAAUACUCUGAAGUACAGUAAAUGAGAGUGGUUGAAGAAAUGCCAAAAAAUUAUAGCCAAUGCAUAUGUACUUCCUCUGUCUCAUUUUAAGUGCAACCAUCAUUUUUCGUGCCCAACUUUAAUAUAGUUUGUCUUAGUUGAUUUUUUAAAAAACUUUUAAAAAAACUCAUGCAUAAAGUACUAUUCAUGGUUUAUCAUCUCAUAACAAUAAAAAUACUAAUUAUAAAAAAAAUAAAGAGGACGAAUGAUCAAAGUUGGACACGAAAACUGAUGGCUGCACUUAAAAUGGGACGGAGGAAGUAGGUAACCGGAAGCUAUAUGAUAUAAUUGAGUGGAGGUAGCUCAAUUAAUUGUCAAUUGACUUGACAUGGAAUACCUGCAGAUAGCUAUGUUUGUGAAACAAAUGGAAUCUUGAUCGACCUAGACAUCUACCCAAAACUGACAAGUUGUUCCUAUUUUACAAAGUUCGAGCUGCCAUACUAUCAUUGAUAUUCUCAAAUUGGCUAAUAAACUACCUUGAAUAUGAGCAGUUCAAGAAAUGCAUAAAAAAUAUAUAUAGGCAGUGCACAUCUGGGUAACGGGAAGCUAUUUGAUCCAAUCGGGCGGAGUUAGCUCAACUAUUUGUAAAUCGUCCUAGCAAAGAAUUCGUGCAUACAACCCUGUUUGUUAAACAAUGGAAUCUUGAGCUACGUCCCACUACUACAUAAAUCAUUUUUACAUGCAGCCAGCACAAUCGCAUGCGCCAAAAGAUCUACAAAAAAUCGGAUUUUCGCAUGCGACCAGCGCAACCGCGUGCGAAAAUGGUAUUUUCGUAUGUGGUCACCUAUAUCGGCUGCAUGCGAAAAUAAUAUCAGCGAAAAAAAUAAAAAAACCGAAUCGGCCGAACCCUAGCUCGCCGCUGUCAUCAGUCGGACCCACGCAGGGCGGCGCCACUGCUGCUGCCAGAGCCCACCGUCCUCCGCGCCGGAUCCACCGUGCGCCUCUCGUCGUCGCCGUCAGAUCCGCCGCCCCCGCCGCCCAUCGUCGUCACCGGCACUGGAUCCGCGUGGGGAUGGGUCGCCACCGCCAGAUCCACGCUAGGCGGCAUUACUCCUGGCCACCUCCUUGUCAUCAACGGCGGCGCCGCCUGCUCCCAACCCCACCGCCUGCUCCCGCACACUCGGUGAGGAGAGGAAGACAAGAGAGUAUCAGAGGAGAGGAGAGGAACAGACAUAAGGAGAGGAAGAGUGAGAGGAGAGGAGACGAAAAGUUUUAAGUGGUGAGAGCGAAAAGAGAGAGCACGGGAAAAAAAAUCUGUGAAGAAGAGGGUAUUUUCGCGUGCGGACAACUUAAGAGACACGCAUACGAAAAUUUAUUUGGUAUGUGGCCCCUUAAGAUGACCGUAUUGGUAAAUAGACUUAUUUUUACAUGCGAUCCCUUGCAAAUUGCUACCACUAUAGAACAUGACGUCGUGAACGGGACAUCCAUGAUAGGGGCUUGCAUCCCAUCAUAUAGACCUCCCAUUUGACGGGACAUAAUAAACCUCGACACAAAAGCACCAUUACAGGCACUCACCACAGGCCUCUAGUCUGGACCUGUUACUAAUGACACUCAUCCUCGACACAGAUGAGUUUUGACAUCACUGACCAAUAAUCUGUAACUGGGCUCCUUGCCGACAUAGAAGGGACCCACCCAACAUGGAUGACCUAUUCCAUAGGUGUGCUGUGGAGUCUUGAACUACACAUCGUCUAUCAAAAACAUUGACAAGGUCUUCCUAUUUUACAAGCUACAAGGUACCAUUCUAUCAUUGAUAUUGUUGUCAAAACGACAACUGCAUACGUCGAAAGACGUGGUUACUCAACAGUGGAUGGGAAAAUGAAGUGUACUAAAUUUUGAAUUUUCCUUGGGGAUCCCCCAUUACAUGGCCCUAGGGGACUAUUUAUAGCCCCAUUACAGGUUCUUACUACUAGGGUUUAGGUUGUACAGGGAAAUUUACAUGAUUACCCUUACCAAAGGGGCAUUUACAGGGGUACAUAAUGUUAUAGGGGCUCAUGGGCCUCUGAUGGGCCGUCUGGCGAUCGCCGGCCUGUUGGGCCGGAAAGGCUUCCUCGGCCCUCACGGGGGCGAACUUGUCAAGGCGAAGUCAUCCUCCUUCGGCAGAUAGUCUUCGCCCUGCACCCUUCGCCUGAGACGCCUCUGGCCUGGCGCUUGUACGACUCUUCGCCUUGCGCCGUUCUUGUUCCAUAGCCUUCGCCAUGGGUUUCGGCAGGUUUGGUUGAAGGACCUCAUGCCAUCCGCCAACAAGCCCCUCACGGGCAAGGGUGAGAUUGGAGCUUCGGCCGAGACCGUGCAAACCAUGUGGUAUGGUAUGCGGCGCCCCCUUUCGACCGAUGCUCCUGCCGAAACCUACAUUAUUCCUGCGAAUGAAGUUUGUUAUUUGUGCGGCUGGUAUUAUUUUGCCGCGCUUCGCCUCCUGCGAUUGAUUUUUAUAUAUAUUCUUUUUUCCUGGGCCGAACGGAAGCCUUCCUAUCGUGGGCUUUUCACUGUGCCGCUCGGUCGAUGGGAAUUUACCAUUUCACCUACCCUUGCGACACGUGGCGCUUUAUUACUAGUGGUUAGGCGAACGGUCGCCUGGGUGGGCUAUAUAUUCCCGCUUCUCUUUCCUUUUCACCGCCCCACUUUCCAUUUUACCGCGAGCGCUCUCUUCCUCCGUCUCUUCCUUUCACAGCAUCUUUCGACCCCUCAGGCGUUUCGCCGAAUCUCGUUUUUCGCCACCGCAAACGCACCGUUCGCCAUGGCCCCACGUAAGCCAAACCCUACUUCGGCGAAAGGGCCAGAUCCCGGCCUAGUCGAUGACAACAGCACCGCCUUUCUGGGGGUCUCUCUUGUAGACGACGUCGAGCUGGCGAAGAUGGUCAGCUCCGGAGCGUUGGUUGAGGGGCAGGCUUUCGCCCCAGGGAAAACCGUGGUGCCGAAACCUGUCGACAAUCGGACAGUGGUGUUCGCCGUAUUUUUUGAGGCAAGGCUACGGUUUCCUUGCAACGUGUUGUUGCCGGAAAUCCUUCGCCUCUUCCAGGUGGAACUUCCGCAGCUGAGCCCGUCGGCGCUUGUUCAGAUCGCUAUCUUUGACUGGGCGUGCUGGACUUCCGGGUUUGAGCCUAACACCGAGCUCUUUGGCGCCAUAUUUUUCGCCACCGUGAACUCGAAGACGGUGAUUACCCCGGCUGGAAUGAAAAAAACAGUGUUCGGGAGCGUGAACUUCAACGUUAGCCCCGAGCGGUCCGAUCUCUAGCCGGUGAACGCUGCCAUGUCGAAGUGGGACCGCCAUUGGAUGGCGAGGUGGUUCUACCACACCAUCCCCUUCGAGGCUAUUUCUGAAUCAGCGAAAGCCUUCCGGUGCCGGCGCAAGGCGAUUGCGCCGAACCGGAGGCCCAAGAUUGCUGUGAACGGCACCAUGGAGGCAUGGUUCGUUCUACUACGGAAGGUUUGCUCCCGCCUUAGCUGCCGUGACUUGGUGGAGGAAUUUUGUAUGCUUCGAAUUUUUCCCCUCUCCCAGUCAUGGCAAGUCGCGGUUGAACAAGGCGAAGAGGUCGACGGUUUGCCGAACCUGAUACUUCCUGAGGGGGCGAACAGUAAGACUGUUGUUUUGCUAUUUACUGCUGUGCUUUGUUAUUUCGCCUUAUUUGACUUUUGACAUAGCUUCACACUCUACUUUUACAGUGUUGACCCUCGACCAGGCCGAAGCCAAAGCCUGCAGGAUGAUCGGCGAUGUUUCGGCCGUCGAGUAUAGUCAGCUGUUAACGCAUCAAGCGGCUGGGCGGGCGAACCGGGUUUACAAUGGCGAACUGCCUCCCCGGGCGAAUCCCCAAAAGGUCGACGACGAGGCAGGGCCUUCGCGAAAGCGGACGCGCGGACAAGUGAAGCUUGCCCCCAGGAAGCGAAGGGUUCCUACUUCGUCUGACUCCGACGCUGACGACGAGGAUGAUGCCGAAGAACGUGACGGCGAGGAGGAAGGAGAUGAAGAGGAGGAGGUGGAGGCUGUGGCUGAUAAGGCCGCGAGCGAGGCGGUCGAAGACUGCGUCGACACCCCCGGCUACACUCCUACCCCAAGUCCCGGUCACAACGAGACCGGGGUGGAGUCGAACAGCUCCCCCCUUCAUCGGAAGGAUUUGGAAGGGGCGAAGGCCCUAGUUGCGUUCUCUUCAGGUGCAGCGGCGAAGGGAGGUCCUGGCAAAAAGGUGGCUAAGAAGAAAGGACUCGUCGAUGUCGCUCGCGUUUUUAGCGACGACGAGUCCUUCGACGGGACUCUGACUUCGCCCGCUGGUCGCAGCCUGGAUCUUUCGGCCGCCCCCAUUCCUCCAUUCGACGCCGCGGGAGUGGACGGUAGUACCGCCGCUGGGGCUUCAGCUUCUGCGGAAAGGAUUGUGACGGCCGCGGCGAAAGUAUUCGGCAAUCCUCCGCCUCAGCCGGUUGCAUCGCCGCUGAUUGAGGUGAAGGGAAAGAGAGCUGUCGCUGAGACGUCCGCUUCGGAAUAUUCGAUCUCGGUACCCCGCUUCGCCCCUGGCGAUUUCGAGACGCGAGCGGACCUCCUUCCUUUUUUGGAGGGGGUAAGCAAUCUUGUACUGCCCGCCAGUGCCCCGAGCUUGUUCACGGAACUGAAUGAGUUCGACGAAGGGUGUUCUGCUAUAAAAAGCCUGGCUGUUCGGGUACGUUCCCCCCCCCUUUUUUUAUCUUUACCCUUCCUUUAUCUUGUUUUUACAAUUGACACUUGUUCUCUUCGCCGCUCGUAUUCUGCGCCCAGAUCCUCGCGGCUCACUGCUCAACGGAGCGAACCGUGCGAGCCCGACUUGAUGAGUUCAAAAGCCGUCUUCGGGCCAAGGAUGACAAACUAGGCCGUAAAAAUUUGGAGAUGGAGGCCCUUGCCAACACUCUUAAGGAGGCGAAGGCUGAAAACAAGCGGCUCCAAUCGGAACUGGAGAAAGGGAAAGAAGUCAGGGCCGAAGUCGAUCGCUUAAAGGCCGAACUGGAGAAAGAGAAGGCCCAUUCGGCGGUGCUCAUCGACUACUACAACCUUACUGAGCCGAAGAUAGUCUCUUCGCCAGAAGGCUAGCAGGGCUGAAGCGAGCGCCGCGGAGGAGUCGCAGCGGUUUUCGCGGGAGAUGGCGAAGACCGCCGAAUCUGCGAGAACGGCUUGCCAAACCCUCCGCCUCGCCCUUACCGACAUGGGCGCGAAGGGGCGGGGGGUCCCUACCGAGGAUGCCUCAGCCUUCGACUUCUCCGAGUGGACCCAGCAGGCCGGCGGAUCGGUUUCGGACUGCGCCACCGCGUACGGCAACUGCUGUGCGCGCGUGUCAGCGGCCUUUACCAUGGGCCUCCUGCAGCAGUUCGGCUGCGAGCACAUCGCCGAGUUCCCCAAGUACGCGAAGGGGGAUUGGGAAAUCAGUGCACAAGACAUUUCACCUGCACUUCGUGCGUGGCGAAAACAAUUUUGGCAGAAGGACGGCCGCUCCGCCGCUAAGGCGCGCCUUUUGGAGCAGCUGGCGAAAGCAGAGGCGGCGGACCUUUGUGAAGAGGAAGGCGCGGCGGCCGGAGGGGGUGGAGGCGAUGCCCAGGACCACCCAGAGGUGUGAGGCCCUCCACCCUUCUCUUAGAUUUUCAUAGUUUUCUUUUGGUGUUCGCUAGAUGUGGCGAACCGUUGUAUAUUCGGCAAACUGCCGCUAAACCUUAAAAAAGGCUUUUUGGUAUAUUUGGAAUGUAUGACAUAAUCUUAAUUACCUUUUGAUGAUCGAAGUCUUUGGCAUAUUUUUAUUUCACUCGUUUCGCAUUAUGCCAUACCUUCCCCUUCUUUCGCCUACUCUUACCAUUCAAGAUGUGUUUUGCCUUUUCUGCACUGUCUACCAGGGGGUCCGCCGAAAAUCGUGCAUUCGGCCCCCUUCUGGGAGCUGGCGAAGUCAAAACGAGAAAUUUGUGGCAUUGAAGGGGCUGCCGAAGACGCAAUGUCCAUUUCGGCAUGUUUAUCGCGAAAUGGAGAUAAACGGUCGUAGCUAUAAGAUUAUCAAGGUUGCCAACUGGCUACGUGUGCACCCCGGGCGAACCUUAGAAGAUUACGAUCUUGUUCAUUCAAGACGUUUGGAAGAUAUGGCUCGCUUUUGGCGAAACCAUUAGAAGACUAAACGUCAGGAAUCGAUCUUUCAGCGUCGUUACAGUUUAGUCUGUGUUUCGCCCCCUACUCCUCUUAAGGUUGUGUAUGAUAUUAGUAGUGAUGACGAACCUAGUUCGUCCGACCAUUCCUUAGGGAGGGAUAAUGAUCACUGGGGCGAAGAUGUAAUUUACUUGUAAAAUGAAUUGUAUCGGGUUGUAAACCUUGUAUUCUUUGAUUAUUUUUUUUUCGAAGCUAAUAAAGAACGUGCUUUAUUUCCUUUUCGCUAUUUUUCGCAUCGUCACAUUUUGUGCUUUUGUUAGGUCGGAACAUGCCGGCCCCUUUGCAUAUAUUAGCGAAAUAGGUGUAUUGACUUUUCAGCUUUUCGUCGUUCGUUUUUAAUCUGUAGCGUUCUGUGUCGAGAGAAACGCUUUUGCUUUUAUACUGAUCGGUCGUAACGUCGUUCGGCUAUUUAUUUUCCGAGACAAGCUGUUGCGGUUUCAAUGUUCGGCGAGCAAUGCUUCGGCCGAUUCGUUUCGCCCCCUUGGCCUUUUUCGCUGAUCAGGCGUUUGCCUUGGGGUUUUUCCACAAAUUAUCAAUCACACGAAAAGUAAGAAGAAGGCGGAGGACACAGAGAUUUUAUACUGGUUCGGGCCUCCAUGGUGGAUAAUAGCCCUACAUCCAGUUUUUUUUCUUUUUCUCUCUUUCUUCUUUUUCUUUUUUUUUCUUUGCCGAAAGGCUUACAUAGUGCCGAAGGGCUUACAUGAUAGUAUGUACAUUUUUACAAGUUGGCGAUUUGGGUGCCACCCAUUCUAGACAUAGAAGCGCUUGAGGGAGGCGGCGUUCCAGGAAUGGUCGAACUCCUCGCCUUCGAGUGUCGCUAGGCGAAAAGAUCCCGUCCUGGACUUGCGCUUGAUGAGGUAUGGUCCUUCCCACUUUGAUUCAAGCUUGCCAACUGCUACUGGGUUCGCCUUCUUCCUUAGGACGAGAUGACCAGGCAUGAGCUCCGUGGGUCGAACUUUUUUGUUGUAAGUUGCCGAAGUGCUUGCGGCGUACUUGUGCAUGUGCUCGAGCGCUUCGACUCUUACUGCUUCCAAGAGUUCGAGCGAUACUUCGCGUCCUUCGCCCCCGAAAAACAUCACCCUUGGUGAGUUAGCCCCUAGCUCUGCUGGGGUUAUUGCCUCAUCGCCAUAAAGAAGCAUAAACGGGCUAAACUUGGUUGGUCUUGUGGGGGUCGUCUGAAGGGCCCAGAGAACCGAUAGCAAUUCCUCUGGCCAUUUGCCUUUCGCCGCCCCCUCAAGUCUUUUCUUCAGUGCUUCUAGGAUCUUGCCAUUUGUGCGUUCGGCCGCCCCAUUUGACUGCGGGUGUGCGACCGACGCGAGCUUGAUUUCCAGGUCAAACUGCUUGCCGUUGUCAGUAAUGAACUCUUUUGGCACUCCGAAACGGCAAACAAUGUUUUUCCAUACAAACUUCUGUACUGCUGCCAAAGUGAUUGCCCCAAGCGGUUCGGCUUCAAUCCAUCGAGAGAAAUAUUCCACAGCUACAAUUGCGAAUUUAUACCCGUUUCGUGCCACUGGGAACGGCCCAAUGAUGUCUAGUCCCCAUCUGGCGAAGGGCCAUACUGGCGCAAUGGGCUGCAGAUCAUACUGGGGCGCGGCUUGGCUUCGGCCAUGACGCUGGCAACUUUCGCACUUCUUGAUUUGCUCAACACAGACUUUCAACACAGUGGGCCAAUAAACUCCUUGUCUAAAUACUUUGGAGGCCACUGUUCUUGCAGCCUAGUGCGCGCCGCAUAGCCCCUGGUGUAUCUCCUUUGCCAUUUCUUCGCCUUCGGCAAAUGAGAUGCAACGAAGUAAGGGUUGAAGUACCCCUGUGCGGUAAAGCUGACCCGAAACCAUCUUAUACUUCGUGGCUCUGAGCUGCAAAUGCUUCGCUUCUGCUUCGUCUACCAGAAGCCAGCCAGUUUUAAGGUGUUUCACAAAUGGGGUUCGCCAGUCAUGUGGGUCUUCACCCCAUUUCUCCUUGUCGAUUGCCAUGACUUCGGAGCAGUCCAUGGGCACACUUGGAGCAUGCAGGACUUCGAAAAAGAUGCCCAGCGAAUAUGGGCCGCCUUAAGCAGCGGAUUUCGCCAAGGCAUCUGCCUCCCUGUUCUGGUCUCUAGGCAAGUGUUCGACCAUUAUGCCGGUGAAGCAUUUUUCCAUGGACCGAACAGCCUCCAGAUACCUCUUCAUUCCCUCUUCUUUUGCCUCGAAGGAUUUGUCAACAUGGCCUGCUACCAACUUGGAGUCAGUUCGAAUUAGCAGGCACCGGACUCCCAAUGCUUUCGCCUUUCUCAGGCCCAGGAGAACGGCUUCGUAUUCUGCUGUAUUGUUGGUUGUGUCGAACUGCAAUCUUGCUGCGUACCGAAUCGGCACACCAUUCGGCGAAAAGAGGACUGCCGCAACGCCUGCCCCCUUGUGCGACCACGAACCGUCAGAGCACAUCACCCAGAACUGCUCGGUGGGCUCAGGGUCGGGGGCAAAUACUGGUGUCCAUUCAGCUACGAAGUCAGCUAGCACUUGAGACUUGAUAGCAGAGCGUGCAACAAAAUGCAAGUCGAACGGGGAUAGCUCUACCGCCCACUUGCUGAGCCGGCCAGUGACUUCCUUGCCUCGGAGUAUUUCGCCCAAGGGGUACUGUGAUGGCACUAUGACUUUGUGGGCCUGGAAGUAGUGCUUAAGCUUGCGCGAAGCCAUCACUAGAGCGUAAGCGAGCUUUUCCAUUUCAAUGUACCUUGUCUUUGCUCCUUGCAGUGCUUCGAAGACGAAGUAGACCGGUUUCUGUCCGGACUCUGUUUCUUGGAACAGUAUUUGCUCUUCGCGCCUGUUUUCUCCCGAGCCGAAGGCUAUCAGCAAAAGUGCUUGGCCAAGAACUUGCACUGCCUCUCCGCCGAACCCCCGGAGCGACGUUGGUGCCGGUGUAAGAGCUUGGGUUGGCAAGCCCAUCUUAGCAUAUGCUUCGGCGAAGAUCACGUCGGCCUAACUCCCUCCAUCGACCAGGAUUCGUCGGACUUCAAAACCGGCUAUCUCAGCUGAGAUUACCAGUGGAUCUUGAUGCGGGAACAGGACUCCUUCAGCGUCUUCUGGCUCGAAAGAGAUCAGCUGGUUCACGUACUGUGGCGCCCCCUCACCCGCCGAAGUGAUGCUGUGGACCAUGCGGAUCUACAUCUUCUUCUGCCAUUUCGACAACUGGCUUGGCGGGUCAGCUCUUGUAAUCACUUCGAUUACCCUUCGCUGUGCAUCUUGGCGUUGUUCGGCUGGGGGUGUUUGCUCCUGAACUGCUUCACGAGGUGCUUCGACAGUUGUUCCCUGCUGUGGCCUUAGGUCUUGCGCGUUGCCAUGUUGCCUAAUGUUUCAGCAUUGCUCCGUGGUGUGCGAAGAGCAUCCGUGAAAGGCGCAGUAGAGGUCUUUUCGGACCUUCUUGCGGGCUGGCUGCUGAUGGUUGCUUGCUUGCUGGGCGUCGAACUCUUUGCGGAGGGCUUGCACUUCUUCGACAGCCAUCACAGCCUUGCCCGCCCGAUCUGUUCUGAACUUUCUCCAAGUCAUGGGGGCUUGGCCUUGCCUUGGCGGCUGUCCCUGGAUCGCCGGCUGAGACUGGCGAACAGAGAGGGGAGGUGGUUCGGCAACUUGAACUUGUGCUUGAGCUUGAGCAGCGGCGACGUAUAGCUUGUCGUCGUUUAGAAUCCUCCUCACUCCUUGUGAACCCGUCAAUGAUGCGAAGUAGGUGCUCGAGCAUCUGCGGCUCCUUGUUGGCGAUUUUUCUUGUUAGUUCGCCCUCAAGCAGACUGGCCCAACUGGUGGUACUUGCUGAGCCGCCACGGAUGGGUCAAAAAUUGGCUGCAACCACAUCAUGGCAGCAUGGAUUGGUGCUUGGUUUGUUCCGAAGCCUAGAGUUGGAACUUGCUGCCGAACAGUUGGCACCUGAGCAGUGUUGACGAAGUCGAACUGCGGUCCUUGAUUCCACGGCGAAGCUUCCAAGCCUGGCUGAAUUGGUGGCAAUCAAUUGGGCGCACCAUGACUUGUAUUCCCCACCGGGUGAGCCGAUGGGGUUGUGCUUGAAAUGUAGUGGGGUUGGUUGAGUUGCUGAAGGAAAGCUUGGAGUUGCGCCUGCAGAGCCGAAGCCCCUUCCGCCACUGAUUGUGGCGCUUGGCCAGGUGGUUGAUGCUGCCCGGCGAAGUUCACCGGCGCCUGUGUGGCUAGUGGCGGAGAGGGCUGGGUCACCACUUGCGGCCGGACUUGAGGUGGGGCAUAGCCUGCCGAAUACUGAAGGAUUAGAGCCGACGUGGCCUUGGUCCGCCUUGCCGCCUCGUAUGCUUGUUGUUGUUCUUGCAUUUGGCGAAGCAUGUCUUGGAGCCGUGUCAUGUUCUGCCGCAUGGCUUCCAUGUCGGCUUCAGCUUGCGCUUCGGGGUCCAGGCUGAUUUGGGCCUGUAUAACGGUGAGCGCAGUUGGGGCCGCCGCCGGCUGCGAUGGGGCGGCUUGGGGCACCACCAGUUGGUUUGUCGAAAGGAUCUCCGCCCUAGUCUGGAGUGCCCUUCCGCCGUAGCCGCCUUCGCCACGUCGGCCGUGUUCGGCACUUGCACUGACGUUGCGGGGGCCGAAGACGGUUCUGAUGGCGCGGGGGCCGAAGGCGGUUGUGAUGGCGCUUGUGCUUCUCCAUCUUCGGCCACGGACGCCGAAGGCUCUGCUCCUUCUUCGGCAGCCAUGUCCGGUCCGGCGUCGCUCUCCUUCCGCCUGAUAACCUUCUCCUUCACGACCCUCUUCGGUGGCAUUCGCUCUCAGUGGUUUCGCUCGGAGUCCCCACGGUCGGCACCAGCUGUUGUCAAAACGACAACUGCAUACGUCGAAAGACGUGGUUACUCAACAAUGGUUGGAAAAAUGAAGUGUACUAAAUUUUGAAUUUCCCUUGGGGAUCCCCCAUUACAUGGCCCUAGGGGACUAUUUAUAGCCCCAUUACAGGUUCUUAUUACUAGGGUUUAGGUUGUACAGGGGAAUUUACAUGAUUACCCUUACCAAAGAGGCAUUUACAGGGGUACAUAAUGUUAUAGGGGCUCAUGGGCCCCUGAUGGGCCGUCUGGCGAUCGCCGGCCUGAUGGGCCAAAAAGGCUUCCUCGGCCCUCGCAGGGGCGAACUUGUCAAGACGAAGUCAUCCUCCUUCGGCAGAUAGUCUUCGCCUUGCACCCUUCGUCUGAGACGCCUCUGGCCUGGCGCUUGUACGACUCUUCGCCUUGCGCCGUUCUUGCUCUAUAGCCUUCGCCAUGGGUUUCGGCAGGUUUGGUUGAAGAGCCUCAUGCCAUCCGCCAACAGAUAUUACAUCAAAUUGCCUCAUAAACUCCCUUAAAUAAGAGUGGUUGAAGAAACACGUAAAAAGAUAUAGCCAACGCACAUGUUGAUAACCGGAAGCUAUAUGAUCCAAUCGAGUGGGAGUAACAAGAUUAGUUGUAAGUUGUCCUAGGAAAGUAUUCCUCCAGAUAACUAUAUUUGUUAAACAAAUGGUAUCUUGAGCUACACAUCUACCCAGAACAUUAACAAGAUCUUCACAUUUUGCAUCGUUUGAUAUUCCAAGUUGCCUAAGAGCAAUUUUAAUAGUUGGCAACUCCCUCCGGUUAAUUAUGACGUUUUGAAUAAUGAUAUGGUCUUCAAAAUAUAUCAUUGACUAUACAUAGUCAAACAUAUAUUUUAAAGAGCAUGUCAUUGUUUAAAUACAAUAGGAUAAUGUGUGUGUGUCUAUAUAUAUAUAUAUAUAUAUAUAAUAGAAAAAAAGUACCGUACUAAAAGUAAAAAAAUAUUUAUUUAUUUUAUAUAUUAUAAUAGAAAAAAACAAUGUACUUCUCCCCCGUCUAGUAACUUAGAAUGAGAUAAGACCUAUCCACAUUUUGAGACGGAGGUAGUAAAAGUUAUAAAAGUUGCACGUCAACUUUCCAGUGAGAGUAUAAGCCAACUAUAGCUUAGGUAGAAAGGAGAUAUAUAUAAAAAAAAAGAGAGAAGUGCAAGUUUUCAUGCAAAAUAUAGCUCUACACAUGGUCCAAAGCCCAUGCAUUAGUUACACUAGCCGCUAACCCGUACGAUGCACGGGUAUUAUAGAGUAUAGAGAUAUAUUUUAAAUUUUAAUCAUAGCUUAAAUAUGUAGGUUUUAUAUUUUUUUUAUUAUACUGACUCUAGCUAAAAGAAGCGCACACGUUAGUUACAACUUCACAUUUGUGGUUUCAAAAUUUCAAAUUAAAUUAGUUAUUUCAAAUUAAAAAUGGAAAGUCCGUAAUUUCAGAAUUGUGUAUUAUCAAUUUCGUAAAAACUAAUAAAGAAUCCGAUUCGUAUUUGUGAAACAAAUUGAAUCUUGUUCGACCUAGACAUCUACCCAAAACUCUGACAAGUUGUUCCCAUUUUACAAAGUUCGAGCUGCCAUACUAUCACUGAUAUUAUCUCAAAUUGGCUAAUAAACUACCUUGAAUAUGAGCAGUUGAAGAAAUGCGUAAUAAAUAUAUAUAGGCAUUGCGCAUCUGGGUAACGUGCAAAGGAUUCUUGCAUAUAUAACCCUGUUUUUUAAGCAAUGGAAUCUUGAGAGCUACGUACGUUCACAUCUAUCCAGAACUUUGAGAUUCCUAGAAUUCCGUAAUAAACAACGACGAAGAGAGGUUUGAAAACAUGCGUUAAAAUCAUGUGGCGGUAGCUCAUCAAUUAAUUGUCAUUUGUCCUUGCAAGUAGUGAUACCCGGAGACAAUGGCAUCUUCAGCGAGUACACACCUACCCAGAACUUUGACAAGUUCUUCACAUCUUACAAAGUUCGACGUACCAUACUAUAAUUGAUAUUCCACCAAAUUAGCUAAUAAACUGGCUUGAAUAAGAGCAGUUGGGGAAAUGCGGGAAAAAUAUAGGCAAAAUGCACAUGUAGAUAACGGGGACCUAUUUGAUUCAUCUGGUGGAGGUAGCUCACAUUGUAAAUUUUCCUUGCAAAUUAAGGCCUUGUUUAGUUCCAAAUUUUUUCUUCAAAUUUUCAAUUUUUUUCAUCACAUCAAAACUUUUCUACACAUAUAAACCUCCAACUUUUCCGUCACUUCGUUCCAAUUUCAACCAAACUUUUAAUUUUUGACCUGAAAACACACUCUAAGAAUUCUUGCCGACAACUAUGUUUGUCAUUGAAUCGUGAGCUACACAUGUAUCCAGAACUUUGAUAUUCCAUAAUCCCUAAUAGACUACAAUAAAUAAGAGUGGUUAAAGAAAGCGUAAAACUUAUAACCAAUCCACACACUAGAGAAAUGAUCUUUAAUACCGAUUCUAAACUCUUUUUAAUCUCGGUUAUAGUAACCGAGACUUAAGAUCUAAAGAUGCAUACUAAAUAAAAAAUAUAUAGGAUGUGGGAUUCGAACUUAAGAUCUCGCAUCUCAACCAUUAUCUGUGUUACCAUCUUACCUACUCCACACGUUUAACUUGGAUAAAGGUAUUUUCAUUUUGAACUAACUCUAGAGGCAUUUUUAGUACUGGUUGGUAACAACCAACUUGUAUUAAAAAUAUCUUUAGUCCCGAUUGAUAUUAUCAACCAGUGCUAAAAAUAUCUUUAGUAUCGGAUAACAGUAACCAAGACUAAAGAUCCACAAAAAUUAGUACCGGUUGGUGCUGCAAACCGGUUCUAAAGAUGUAUUUUUAAUAUCAGUUGGUAACACCAACUGGGGCUAAAGAUAUAUAUUUCUAGGUACCUAGGCUUUUAGAACCGAUUAUAAAUAGCUUUAGUACCGGUUCUUAAUGCAUCGGCCGGUAUAUUUGUGAUUUGGGGUAUUGGAUAAAAGUUGAUGAUGGUGAAAGUCUGACGAGAGUGGUGAUGCUAUCGCCAAAGGGGCCACAACAACAGUUUCAUGUAGAUGCAGUGCCAAGUAAGCAUGAGCAGCGAUACCACGCACUAUAAGAGGUGUGUGGAUUUUUAACAUUUUAUUAUGUCAUAAUAUAUGAAAUCAGUUGACGUAAUUCCAAACGUCAAAAAGCCACGUCAUAAAUUUAGUAUGUGACGUUUGUACAUUUAUUGUCACAAGCAUUUGACAAUGCUUUAUUGUCAUAAAAUCCUGGGGCUUGCCACGUGGCAGCUGACAUAACAGUUGACAUGGUUAAAAAAAAAGUCACAAAAUAAGAUUCGGCCUGCUAAAGCCCAUGUAGCUCAUGGGCCACAAAUAUAUUUUUUCUGGGGUUGUUGCUAGCUGGCCCAGUAUAUUUUUUGCUUGUUUGUUUAUGAAUGCAGCCUGUACAAAUUUUCAACCCACACCAAUUCGGCCCAUAUGAUUUUUCCAACCCGCACAAUUCAGCCCAUAUGAUUUUUCCACCCCCACAAUUUAGCCCAUAUAUUUUUCCAGCCCAAAUAAUUUUUUCAGCCCACAAAGCUCAACUGAUAUUUUUUCAGCCCAUACAAUUCAGCCCAGAUACUAUAUUUCAGCACAUACAAAAUCAGAUUCAAAUGAAUUAACAUUCCACAAAUGAUUGCAAUGUCACAUGCAUUUCACAUUCCAGAAGUCUUGAAAUGCAAUAUCAUUACAUCCAUCCACCAAUUCAGUACAUAUCCAAACUCUCAAAUUUCAUAUUCCUGCUACUGCGAGAGCAACAGCAGCACAUCUGCAAUAGCAUCACAGCAGCAGUAGCGCAAUGGCCAAAAGCACAGCAGCAACAGCACAACGGCCAGAAGCACAGCAGCACCUAAAUAACAUCCCACAAGCACAAUGGUCGCAAGUUCAGUGUCACCAAAAUAUCAUCUGGAACCUAAUUGAGUAGGAGUGCUUACUAUUCAGCAUCUGAUGAUGCAAAAUUGCUGCCAAACAAUUGAGUAGUUUCUUAUUGUACUUGAAUUACAUGUACCCCAGUGGCAUAAUGUAUCUAUGAAUCCUAUAAUACAUGAGUAAGCAAAAUUUAGUAGACUCAAGUAAACCCCCGCGGGGCAUUGCAUUUACGUUAGAAAACAUUGGCCGCAGUUUCAUUGAUAGAAACAGACAGAGUUGUCCGAAGUCCAGUGCAAAAAAGAACAAGUACCUUACGGCAUCUGACUUGAAUCCCAUCAGGUUUUAUAGUGCUAAACUGAUCCUCAAAUUGGGUCAUUGUGCAUUUAAUGGUAGAAUCCUCACAUGUAUUGUAUGAGCAGCAACUAUAAAAUAAAGAUAAUAAAUUUCAGGACAACAACAAAAUUAUCAUGUCUGGACUAAAGCCUACGAUUAUAGCAAAUACCUUAUGUUCAUACGUAUUGCUGCUCCAGCCCGUUUAUCUGCCGCAUGACAACGCACAGGUGGACAACGUGCAUGACGGCAGCAUCCGUAAGGAUUCAUCCUUAAUCAAAAGUAUUAUUUAGCCUUAGCCUUAGUCCACAUAUUGCACACAAAAAUGAAGAGUUAUUCCAUACAAAAUCGAAUCCAGAUUCAUCCUUAAUCAUACAAAAGCAUCUCUUGCUCUAAGAUUAAAAGGAAUGUGACAUCAAGCUAUGAACGAGCAGAACCGUUCAGCUUUCUUUAAUACAAGAAAUAAACAAGCUCACCUUGUGCCCAUUGUGGCCUUGGUGUUGCUUGUCCGUUCAGAGAUCUUGGGCUUCAUGCCAAGAUUCGGCACAGAAGUCUCGGCCAUAUCAACCACCGGCGCUUGAUGCAUCACAGCCACACCAGUGGCGGAGGACGGAAAAAAUUUUAGGUGUGGCCUACGAAUUACCACAGAAGUUAGCACAUAACGAAAAAUCUCAAUGCAUGUUAUUAUACGAUGCAAUAUUAUCACAACAAGUCUACAUUAAGCACGGUAAACAAGAACUAAUUAUAAGUUGAUGAUUCAUCAUCUAUUUGUAAACUAGAUAGAAGAGUAGGUACUCAAAAAAUACCUCAACUUCCUAAGAUUCAUGCUUUCAACAAUACAUCACAAAUAGGAAGUACAGUACUGAGUAUAGAUAGAUAUAGUACCAAAGAUUGAUUAAUGUUCACAUAUGUAGGCACCUGUUGAUGGAGUGAUGGAUGCUUGGCUUGUUGGCUUGUCGCUUGCUUGCUGUCGUCGCUGGGUGCUGCACGCCUGCACUGCUGUUGUGCCAUUCAUCCCACCCUGCCUCUGUCUCUGCUCUUCCUGCGCUGCGCGCCUGCCCAUUUGGGCCAUGGCGGCUGGUCGUGCUGCCGCCUUGCCGGAGCAGAUGCCACAGCCGCAGCUCUGGAAGCCUGGUGGCCGCGCCCUCCUCACCUCACCCUGCCCUCCCGCGCGGCGCGCACCACAGCAGCCCCCGUCCGCCGAUGGGGAUUGGGGAUGGGGAUUGGCGGAGGUUGGAGGAGAUGGUCAGAUGACUCAGAUGGGGAAAUUUGGGUCUCAUUUACACUAAACAAGCCUAAUGGGCCUACUAGCUAUCAGCGUGAGGACCAGCACUGGCAUUUGCGGACGCGUCCACGCCGUGUCGGCACUCUCUCUGACCCGGCUGCUGCUAUGCGCGGAGGAGCACGAGGAAGGGGGGGUGGUCAGCGGGCGGCGCGAGGAUGCUGUGGCCAACGUGGUUUGGAAUCGGCUAGCGGUUGGGCCCGUCGAUGCAGCCGCACGCCGUCCUCGAGCCGCCCGGGGAUUGCCGCCGCUCGAUCUAGCCGCCCUAGGCCCGGGAUCUAGCAGAUCCACCGCUCCCGAGCGUGGUGGCGGCGGAGAUAGAGGCGGCGUGGUAAGCGGCGAAGGAGGACGCCGCCGCACGCUGUCAUCGCCGAUACCCACCGCCGGAGAGGAGAGGAGAGGAAAGGAGAGGAGAAUGGAUGGGAGUGUGGCGGCUGAGGGUGGAGAGAGAGAGAGAGAGGAGGGGUGGAGAGGAGGGUUUUAUAUAGGGCUAGGGUUAGGGACGGCGAUCAGAACCAUUAGAUCGAAGAUGGACGGUCAGAAAUAGUUGGGCCAUUUGGGCCGAAACAGGAAUGAUCAUAUGUUUUUUUUUUAAUUUCAAUUUAUGAAAACAUUAAAUGUAAUUUUAGGUCGAUUUUUUUUGUUUCAAAUGAAAAAAUCAUAAAUAAUAAAAUUAUAGAACUAAUCGAGAUCUACAACUAUUGUAUUAGUCCUUUUUACAAAUAAGUUCAUUUGAACAAUACAAAUUUUGAAUUUUCAAAAAUUGAUAAUUUCGAAUAAAAAUUGGGGUUAAUAAAUGAUUUCAAAUGGAAAAGUCACCAAAACUAAAGUUGUAUAAAUCAUCGAGACGGAAAUUUUUUAUUUUUGUCAUUUCUCCAUCUGACUCUAUUUGAACAAUUUGAAUUUGAAAUUCAAAGUUUGAGAACUUCAAAUAGAAUUUUUUUAUUAGUGAACGACUUCAACUGAAAAAUUCAUCAACAACAAAGUUGUAUAAUCCAUCUGAAUCUACAAUUUUUAUUUUGGUCAUUUGUUCAUUCGACGAAGCGAUAGUAAGAUUGUUCACAAAAUUUUAAUAUGGUUUUAUAAACUAUAAGAGAGAUUUGUAAAUUUUGUGAACAAUGUUAAUAUCACUUUGCCAGAUGAAGAUAUGACCAAAAUAAAAGUUAUAGAUAUUUAUGAGUUAUACAACUUUGUUAUUGAUGACUUUUUCAGUUGAAAUCAUUUAGUAUUUGAAAAUAUUGUUUGAAGUAGUCAUAAUUUGAAAUUCAAAUUCAAAUUAUUGAAACAAAGUCAUAUAGCAAAAUGACCAAAACAAAAGUUGUAGAUCUUGAUAAGUUAUACAAAUUUUUUGUUGACAAUUUUUUCAUUUGAAAUCAUUUACUACACAAAAAAAUAUAUAUUUGAAUUUCUUAUAUUUUAAAAUUCAAAUUUUAUAUAGAUCAAUCAAACUCAGAUGGAGAAAUAACUAAAAUAAAAUUGGUAGAUUUCGAUAAGUCAUAUAACUUUGUUUUUGACAAUUUUUUCACGCAACUCCCAACAAUUUUUAGCUUGCGGGUUCGACUCCUAACUCCUAACAUUUUUUAGCCAUUUUGCUGAGUUAGGCGCGGCUGCUCGGCCUAGCGCACGGGUUGGCCCAUUUCGGGUAAGCGGCUGUUGGGCUAGCACCAGGUUGGCCCAUCUGAAAAUGAGAAAAGAAAAUCUGAUGUGGCAAUAAGGCUUGCCUACAUGGACAAAAAUAUUUAAAAUAAUACAAUAAAUAAUUUGUGACACAUAAAUAGGUCUUAUGACAUAGUAAAUAUUGUCACUGGAUGACACUAGACUAGCUAUAUGACACUUAUUGUGACACACAACUUUUUAUUGUCAUUAAGUUAAAAUGCUUCAAAUAAAAUGUCAUAAAUUAGAUGAUAUAGUGACAUUAUAACCUGUGUCAUAUAAGCCACACAUAACUUGUAGUGGCGGUCCGAAGGGGACGACGCAUGCAGCUAGCGGCAACCCGAAGCUUGGCAUAGUAGACAUGUUCCAUCCUACGAAGGCUUGUCACAUAUGGCCAUAUGGGCAUGCACUGUGAUCAGGCCAAUAGCACACAAUGCAACACAGCGAUAAACAAUGCCGGUUAUGCCGCGCAGAGCAGAGUCGAGGAAGGUGAUGUCGGGUAAGAUUGGAGCCGUGCAAAUGACGACGGAUGACUGUGGGCGACGCAAACCUGGGUCUCUGACCAGUAAAAAAACAAACACGAAGGUAGUGCACUAGUAAAUAGUAGAAGUGUAUCCUCUGUUCUCCAUUCGCCUCAACUACCACCAAUGGGCUCAAAUCUGUCCACAACUAUCUCCACUCUCUCUCCUCUCUUGGUCAAGGUCACAAGUUCACGGAGAGAGAGAUAGACAGAGCAGAGAUCAAGCAACCACCACUAUUGAAGAACCGAUCUUUACUGGGUUGGACGAAAACCACAAUAAUUCCGGUUCCAAAAAGAAUCAUAACUAAAAAUCAUCUUUAGCCUCGGUUGAAAAGCCCAUAACCAUUUUAUGAUCUUUAGUCCCGGUUGGUAACACACUAACCGGGACUAAACAUAGUCCCGGUUAAAAAAGUGUUUGCCCCCUACUUUUUUUAUUCCCGAUUAGAAACACCAACCGGAAUUAAAAAUCGGUGCAUAGUAUAUAAUUCCUCGUACUUAUCCUCUAGCAACCAUCUCUUCCCUUAUUCUCCUCCUCUCUUUUCUUAUCCUUUCCCUUUCCUCUCUCUAUUCUCGCACGCGGCAGUGGGCGAGCGAGCAGGGCGGGCUUGCGGCGGCUGAGGGAGGCGCGGCCGCCGGGUGGCAGGUGGUAGGGCGCACGUGGAGGGGCGUGACAGAGGGGUCGCGGCGGCUGCUGGGCGGUAGGCGGCCGGGCGCACGCGGAGGGUCGGCCGGCCGGAUGUUUUUCUUUUUCUUUUCCUUUUUUUCCCUCUUAAUUUGUGGAUGAUUUUUUGUUGGCUAUAUAUGUUGUUGUGGAUGAUUUGGGAUUGUGGAUGAUGAUUUUGUUGUUGUGAAUGAUUUGGGAUUGUGGAUGAUUUGGGAUGUCGGGAGAUGAUCUGUGGAUGAGUUCGGCUGAAAAAACAAGUGCAAGUAACUAAAAUCAAUUAUCCACAAGCAAAUAGAAAAAAUAAAAAAAAAUCUCUCCUCCCGGUUGGUGUUACCAACCAGGACUAAAGAUCGCUAUCUUUAGUCGCUAUCUUUAGUCCCGGUUGGUGUUAACAACCAGGAGUAGAGAUGCAUCUUUACUCCCUAGUAUUUAAACUGGGACUAAAGAUCGUCAUCCUUAGUGUCAGAUUUCUUCUCCCUGUUUGUAACCCGGGACUACAGGGGUUGCGAACUGGGAGAGAAGAGGCAUUCUCCUGUAGUGCACGGAGGCUGCAAAAGAUGACGUUGCAACAAAUAUAUAGUUUCAAACAGAUAUUUUUAAAAGUAAUGCCUCCGGACGCUGCAACACUAGACUUGCCUGAUCAAGCAUAUAUGUUGGAGUUUUUUCUGAAACACAAGUUUAGAUAGCUUUAAUGCGCACGUUGGAUAACAGGGGUUAUAUUAACAAGGCACGGCACAUUAUAUACGGCCAGAAGAAGCACGUAUGUAGGGAUGAAAACGAAACAGAAACGGACGGAAACUAGCUUUAUCAUAUUAGAUUUUAGAUUUUUUCGGAAUUGGAAUCAGAAUCGAGAACCGGAUACGGAAAUCAAAUCGAAUAUUAUCAAAUAAAGAUACCUAGUGAAUAUGAAAUGAACGAAUAUGGCAACAAAUAUUUGUCGGUAUAUAAAAAUCCUCUCAAACAUUUAUAUCGACAAUUUCGGAGGCGGUACUACAACCUUAUGUGAAAAUUGAUUUUCAAGGCAAUUCCCCUAAGAGACUCACAUGUAAAUAUAUGUAAAUAUGAUUAUUUAUUUUUUAAUCCCACGACCUUUUACUACAUGUAUAGCUUACUUACCAUAUCACUUAUCAAGAUCUUAUUGUAUAAAUUAGAGAUGUUAUUUAUUUUAUUUCACAUCUUCAAAACUUGUAGUGUUUGUUUUAUACUUUAAACAUUUUAAAAUACAAAUGUUAUAAACUACCAAGUGGUAGAUCUCAUUGAGCUCUACAAUUUUGAUAUGGAACACAUCUCCAUUAGAUGUCGUUUGAAUUGGAGAUAUGAGGUUUUGUAAAAAUAGAUAUGGUAUUUUAUAAUGAAUAUUUAGACUCAAAAAUGAUCUCAAAUAAUAAAAUAGUCAACAAGAAAUUGUAGAUAUCAUCAAGCUCUACAAUUUGAUCUAAAGUUUAUCUUCAUCUGACUCCGUAUGAAAAUGUUAUGUAUAUAUAAGUGCUUUUUCUAAAAUUUGAUCUAUGUAUGUGGAUAUCCGGACAAAAUUUCUGAACGUUUUCCCAUUCCGACGGAUAGUACCUUACUCUAUUCGUUUUAUUUUCCGAGAAAAAAGAAAUCCGCAUUUGUUUCCUUCGUCGUGACUAGCCGAUGCAUCGAGCCGGAUUUUUUUUUGAUUCGUGGAACCUCAAAAGUGUCGGAUCUUAAACCGGCACCUAUUUGUGUUUCUGUAGUAUCGGCUUCCACCCUCCUCGUGGAUCUUCCCGUGACCAGAUCUGAGGCUGGCCAUAGGAGGAGGGGGGUGGGGGGGGGGAGAGCUCCAUGAAGAAGAGGAUGUCUAGCCACUAGUGGAGCACGAGUCGACGCCAAUGCCCAAAAACUCCCCUGCAUGUUGCCAACUGUGAGGGAUGUCGCCGCCGUGUCUAAGGCCACGACCACCUCCUCAUGUCGCGACGGCGCCUCCGGCGCCAUCUCGCGCCCCUUGCUUGGUUGCUCCUACGGCUGCCAAUUGCCAGCUCUGGUGGCUCCCAGCGUAGUCGCCGCUGCCCCACCACCACCUCUCCUAUGCCCCCGCCGCCUGCCACCUCGUUCUCCCCUUCCUCCACCUUCGCCCCCUCCAGAUCUGGCAGCGCCCGCCAUGGAUCUGGCCUCACCGUCGCUCCUGCUCCACUCCGCCGCUUGUCUUCCCCCUUCCCCGCCGCUUGCUAUCUCCCUUCCCGCCUCCUUGGCUGCCACCGUCAUCCCAGGAAGGGGCCAAAUCUGGCCAGGGAAGCCAUGUCCGGCGCCGUCGCCACCCCCACACUGUUGGUAUUUCUUAACGACAUUACUAGAAAUAUAAUGCCCAGCAAUGGAACAGAAAUAUUUAUGUUAUAUUAUGGUUACAAAUCAUAUACGCAAGCACACGGAUAUACUAUAGUAGCAUUUCACCCGGAAGUAUUACAAGGGUAUCAUAUUUGUUUAGUCCCGUGGAAAGAUUAUAAUGGAGAAAACUAUGCUAAUAUUUAUAUGUUACUUGUAAUAAUCAGUCUAAGCAGGUGUUAAUUUAAUUCAAGGGUAGAGUGACACGAAGCAUAAAAACUCAUUCUCUCAUAAAUAAUAAGUCUAGGCAAAAUGGAAAAGAAUAAGAAAAUAAUCUAUUCUUACACCUCUAAUAUACAUACAACUUUAGUUAAUAUUAUCUGCUAUAUAAUUAUAUAGCCAAUACCCCCAUUACAAUGCCCUCCUGGUGUUUCGAGAGACCACUCCUGGUUGCCGAGUUUCUUACGACAACCCAUUAUGGCCAUCCAACCGGUGCUAAAUACGGAGAAGUAACCUCCCUAGAAAAGUAACUUAGGAUUAUAUACUAAUAUGGAGGAAUACUUAUACUGAGCUAUCACUAUCAGCGGCCCACCUCGACUGACCCGCAGCAUAUAACCCCAUAUAAUGAUAUUCAAUAGUCUAAGCACCUCGCUUAUACUACCAAAUACUACUCUACAAUCAUCGUCAUGACUUAGAGCAAUCAUACGAAUGAACAUUAUACCCACACCAAUGCAUCUCCCAGUUAAGCUAGCUAGACAAUUAUAUCUCAAAUAAUACAUUGGAAAGUUGGUACUCCAAUAAUCAGAGUGAAGUAAAGUACUGUAAAUAUAUUUUGAAGAAUAUUCUAAUAAUUGUACAAGUCUUACAAAAGAAGGAAGAGCUACUAGAGCCAUACCCGAAUUCUUCCGAAGGCUCCGAGGACUAAAGAAACUAUUUUAUUCCUGCUCCACUAGCACUAGAAUACUAAACUAAACUUAAGAGAGAGCUUGGAGCUUCUUGCUUGAGUGUGUCAUGGAGGGAGUGAGGUGAAGGCCUUUUCUAGGCAGCUUAUGACGGUUGGAAAGGUCGGAAACGCCCUCCAACCAUCAUUGGGAUCAAUCCCAGCCGUCCCACCAAACGCUGCAUCUGACGGCGCCACGCAAGGUUCGGCUGAACCAUGGGCUGGGCCGACCUGGCCCAUCUUCGGUAGAUCGCUUCCUCUCUGCCUCCUUUAUCCAAAAUAGUGAAUUUUGGGCUUGUUGGAUCUUUUAAAUUUGGUUUUCUCAGCCCAUUUGUCCAUAAGUCUGAUUCUCGAUAGCAUCUGAUUGAGUGAUCGUCUAUUUUGUUGUCGACUAUCCUCCCUUUUGUGUUUAUUCUCUGCAAGACGUUAGAAUCCUAGUGGUACUUGAAAAUAGUUUAUUCUACCACAAAUAUGCAUUGCAAGUAUAACUAGUUCUCCUUUAUUUUAGUAAUAUUAACUUGCAAAACUGAUCGAUUACGAUCGUCAAUACGCACCCAACCGCCUCCACGCACAACCGUUCCGCACCCAGCCGCCUCUGCAUGCCCAGCCUGACGCUCCGACGCCACUGUUGACUGUCGUUAGCGAUCAGUUUCGACCGUCAAUACUACCAAAAUAAUAGAGAGCUAGUUAUCCUUGCAAUGCAUAUUUGUGUUAGAAUAAUAAAUAUUCCACUAGUACUGGGAUUACUAACCUCUUGCAGAGAAUGAACAUAAAAUGGAGGAGAAUCAACAUCACAACAGACAAUCAAUCAAUCGGACGAUGAGGAGAAUCAGACUUAUCAAUGAGUGGGCCAAGAAUGCAGAAAUGACAUGACCAAUUGGGUCAAAAUUCACAAGUCUGAAGUGAACAGCAGAAGAGGAGGCCGCCAGCCGAAAAUGGGCUGGGUUGGGCCGUCCCCUCAUUCGGACAAACCCACCGCCUGGUUCGGCCGAACCCGCCGUGCAGCCGAUGGAUCCAGGGUUGGCGAUAGACGGUGUGGAUUGCUUCCCUAUGGCGAUUGGAGGGUAUUACCGACCUUUCCAACCGUCAUAACCAUCAUUACCUGCUUAUUUAAGGCCUUCAUCUCCUCACUUUCUUCACACACUUCGAGCAAAGUUCUCUCAUACUCUCUCAAGCUUAGUUUAGCAUUCUCAAGCUAGUGGAGUAGGAAUAGAAUAGAAAUCAGAGUCUGGAAGUCUUCGGAAGAGUUUGGGCAUGGCUCUAGCAGUUCUCCUUUCUUCUUUUGUAAGACUUGUACUUUAUUUAGAAUAUUCUUCUUUAUUCAAUUCUGGUAUUGUAAUACUUUCCAAGUAUAUGAAUGCCAACUUUACUUUAUAUUCAAGUUAUAUUGAUUAUACUGCUAGCUUAUAUAGGAGAUGCAAUGGUACGGGUAUAGUGUUUGCUUAUGUAAUUACUCUAUGUCAUGAUGAUGAUAUUAGAGUAGUAUCUGGUAAUUAGGCGUGGUGUCUAAAUUACUGGGUAUGAUUAUUUGGGUUAUAUGCUACGGAAGAGAGGUGAGUCGCUGAUGGUGACAGGUCAGUACGGGUAUUCCUCCGCGUGUGUAUAUAGUCCUAAGUUAAUUUCCUGGGGAGGGUACUCCUCCGUAUUUAGCUCCGGUUGUAUGGUCAUGACGACCUGUCGUAAGGAACUCGGUAGUCAGGGGUGGCUUCUCGAAGUACCAGGAGGGCAUCGAAAAGAGGGUAUUAGCUAGUUAAUCUUAUAGUUAGGAUGUAUGUAUAAGAUGUAUACUAGAAAUAUAGGAAUAGAUUCUUUUCUCUUUUCUUUCCACUUAGCUUAGAUGAUUUAAUAUGAAAAUAAGUAGUAUUAUGCUUGUGUGUCAUUCUACCCUAUGAAUUACAUUAACUCCUGCUUAAACUAUGGUUAUUACAAGUAAUAUAUAAAUUAUUAGUACGAUUCCCUCUACUAUAAUCUUCCCACGCCAAAAUUUGGAAUAAUUUUUAAUCACGAUAAAACAAUAAUUAAGACUUCAAACAGAGUGUAAUAUUUUUUAAUUAGGAAUUUUAAAACUAAAUUAUGAAGAUGCUAUAUAUAUUUGAGACUACUCCACAUGGAAUACAACUUGAUAUUUAAUAACUACGAAUAUAGGUGUCGAAACAUGAUUUCGGCAAUAAUAAAAGGGGGUAGCACACGAGACCUAAAAGUGGAUGGAUGCAGAGACAAAGGAUUUAGACAGGUUCAGGCCCUCUCAAUGAGAGGUAAUACCCUACUCCUGUUUGGGGAUUUGAAUCCGCCGGGUGUAGUAUAGAUCUGACGAUCAGGUUGUGUCAUAUGCCCCCUAGAGGGCCUCCUGCCCACCUUAUAUAGGAUGGGGGGCAGGAUUACAAGAUAGAAACCUUAACCAACACGGUAUCGGUUUCCUAAAUCUACUUUACAAUCUUAUCAAGCCAGGACUUUAGGCCGUUCCAUAAUAUACAGGGAAACGUAAUACCCAAGUCAUGAUCUGUUACAUAUUUCAUACAUAUAUGUUAUCCCCUAUUACUAGUCGGAUAACCAUGCCGUGUGGAUAUGGGGUACCCAUAAUCUCCACAGUAGCCCCUGAGACCUUCACAGUCGGAAAGAUAAUCUUCUCUCGAACUAGAUUACUCCAAAGCCGAGUGCUUCAAUCAUCCUCGCCAUGAUCUCCCGAGUACUUUUACCAAAUAUAAAGACUGUGGAGGGCUGAAAAAUAAAGUCAGGUGCAUCAAAUAGAUGUACCAACUGAGUGGUUUUGAUAAUUGUAAUCAACCAAGUGACUUGAUAUCAAUAUAUAGCAUAUGCGGUGUGAAUCCCCGAAUAAUAUAAUCCAAGUGAUAUACCGACUGCUUGGCAAAAUAUGAUGCGUACAACCUAAAGUUGACAACAUCUUUGAAAGUUCACAUAGCAAAACAACUAUAAAGAAGCUUGAAUGCUGUGAAUAAAGAAAUUUCCAAAGUAUUGGGCAUACGCCAUGCGCACACUGCUUUAACAGAUGUGCUUAAGUCCCUAGAAGACACAUGGUUCCACCACACCUGGAAAUAUAUGGCAUAUGUGGUAUAAAAUCCGAGUAAAUAAACUCAUAAAGGAUUUACCAACCGCCUGGAAAAUGACUACAAUAUAUAAUCAGCCUAAGCCAUAAUAUUGGUCAAUAAAAAUGCACACUUACGUGGCAAAAAGCAAUGAUAUUGUAUCCAAUCAAUUGCUUAAAAACCCAAACAGCACCUUGACUUAUAUAAAAAAGUCAGCGGGACAGCUAUAUAAAGCUUUACUGUUUGACACCUUUUAAGAUGCAUUGUACCAACUCCUAAAAAAGUUGAAUAACUGUGGUAUAAAAGGAUUUUAAGGUAUUGGGCACUUGAUCACGCGCACUUUGGCCUAAGCAAAAAGUGCCUAAGUCCCUAAAAGAACGUGAUAGGCCACACCUGAAAAUAUGGGCUGCAGACAUAUUAGGCCUAGGCCAAAAAAUAUGCCUUCGACACCCUUUAAAGGAUGACGCAUAUAACAUGCUCCCGAGUAAUAAAUCUUCCGGGUAAUAUAAUAAUUGAAUCCCGACUGGCGCAAGUAUUCGGUUGAUAGCCCUUACGGGGAAUAAUAAUUGGUCCAGUCUUUGAGCAUAGAAAAUAGACUCAUGACUAUGAAUCCAUGUGGAAUGUAUCCGGAACAAGUCCAAAUUGGAGAUAUAAUCCUCACGCUUGAGUUGAUGAGCCCCUGAGCAUAUAGCUUGUCCUUCUGUCAUAGUCAAAAUUGUCUAUUGGCAAUAGCUGAUGCAGUCGGCAUGGAGAUGAAAUGACCAACAUGAAGACGAAAUUGCUCAUCAGAAGUAACGGAAAAUGUCAGUGGUAGUAAAAACAGUGACACCAAUCAAAGGUAAUGAAGUUGCAUAACCAUGGAGGCGAAGAAACCAGUCGGCAACAGUCAGGUCAGCUAGCAGUGAAGAUGUAGGCGCCCAACAACAACAAAAGAACAGUCGGUGGUGACAAAAGCAAACCGACGAUGAAGACAUAGACGCGCAUCAACGGUGAUGGCGAAACCCACCAAUCAUGAAGAUGAAGAAAAUAAUCGGCGGCGACAAACGCAUCCGACGGUAAUGAUGAUUAGCGGCAACAGAGAUAGCCGACUAUGAUGACGAAGUUUCCCAUCAACGGCAGCAGAGUAGGCUAUGUUGAAGAGGCUUAACAAGAUGUUGAUGAAGAUGACGAUGUCGGUGAUCCAGUCAAUAGCGAUGUAGCAGCCGAUGAUAACGAUGAGAUCCUCUAUCGGCAGUUGCGUAGUAGGUCAACCGUCAAGGUGAAAUAAUAAGUCGGCGAAAACAUAAUCAUCCAUUAGCAACAGCGGAGAUGUCAGGGUCGAUGAAGCAGAGGUGCUGGAGAUGAUGUUAGUGACAAUAAUCCAUCAAAUUAAUGUUAUAGCUGUUGUAGAUGCUUCACUUGGAGGAGAGUUGAUGUUGUUGUCCAACUCGUCCAAACCGAAAUAUUUGAAGUUGUUGGAGUAGAAUGUCUGUUCCGAAGCAAAGAUGAAGAUAAUGACUCCUGGAGUUGACUCAUUGGCUUAUAUAAAAUUUGUCAAAUUUUGAGCCUUAUAUUUGUGUAGCCCCCGACUCUUUGGUUAGUUGGGAAACAACUGAACAUAGAGUCGAGAAUUAUAGCUUCUUGUCGUCGAGUAGUCAUUGCUUGAUUGAAGAUAUGUGUUGAAGAUGUCCAAGUAGAAAUCCGAAGAUAAUAAAGAUGAAGUCGCUCCACCAUGAUGACAAAGUUGUGUUGCCGUGAUGAAGUGAACACGAGUCGACGGCGGAAGACGAUGAUGUCCAUCAGUAGUGGUAGCUGUAUAAACCAAAUGUAGAGGCAAGGGCACUAGUUAGCAGCAGACGAGACGACCGGUGAUGAAGAUGGUAAGGCCAAUCAACACUAGCAGAAUCAUGCGGCCAUGGAAGUGAAGAAACCAGUCGGCAGCCAUGGCAAACGUAGGCAGCUUGUGUUGAAGAUACUGAUGCCUAUUAGUAGUGACAGCGAUGUAGCCAGCCGUGAAGAAGAUAGCAUCAGUUGGCGUUAUAACAGGCCAGCCGUGCAGGCGGUGACACCAGUCAGCGGCGGAUGCGGUGGCCGGUUGGUGAAGACGUAGACGCCCAACAACGGCGGCAUAAAGGCCAGCCGUGCAGGCGGAAACACCAGUCGGCAGCGGCGAAGGCAAGCCGGUCGGUGAAGACGUAGACGCCCAACAACGGCGGCAUAAUAGGCCAGCCGUGCAGGCGGAAGCACCAGUCGGCGGCGGACGAGGCGGCCGGUCGGUGAAGACGUAGACGCCCAACAACGGCGGCAUAAAGGCCAGCCGUGCAGGCGGAAACACCAGUCGGCAGCGGCGAAGGCAAACCGGUCGGUGUAGACGCCCAAUAACGGCGGCAUAAAGGCCAGCCGUGCAGGCGGAAACACCAGUCAGCAGUGGCGGAUGCGGCGGCCGGUUGGUGAAGACGUAGACGCCCAACAACGGCGGCAUAAAGGCCAGCCGUGCAGGCGGAAACACCAGUCGGCAGCGGCGAAGGCAAGCCGGUCGGUGAAGACGUAGACGCCCAACAACGGCGGCAUAAUAGGCCAGCCGUGCAGGCGGAAGCACCAGUCGGCAGCGGCGAAGGCAAGCCGGUCGGUGAAGACGUAGACGCCCAACAACGGCGGCAUAAAGGCCAGCCGUGCAGGCGGAAACACCAGUCGGCAGCGGCGAAGGCAAGCCGGUCGGUGAAGACGUAGACGCCCAACAACGGCGGCAUAAAGGCCAGCCGUGCAGGUGGAAACACCAGCCGGCAGCGGCGAAGGCAAGCCGGUCGGUGAAGACGUAGAUGCCCAACAACGGCGGCAUAAUAGGCCAGCCGUGCAGGCGGAAGCACCAGUCGGCAGCGGCGAAGGCAAGCCGGUCGGUGAAGACGUAGACGCCCAAUAACGGCAGCAUAAAGGCCAGCCGUGCAGGCGAAAACACCAGUCGGCAGCGGCGAAGGCAAACCGGUCGGUGUAGACGCCCAAUAACGGCGGCAUAAAGGCCAGCCGUGCAGGCGGAAACACCAGUCAGCAGUGGCGGAUGCGGCGGCCGGUUGGUGAAGACGUAGACGCCCAACAACGGCGGCAUAAAGGCCAGCCGUGCAGGCGGAAACACCAGUCGGCAGCGGCGAAGGCAAGCCGGUCGGUGAAGACGUAGACGCCCAACAACGGCGGCAUAAUAGGCCAGCCGUGCAGGCGGAAGCACCAGUCGGUAGCGGCGAAGGCAAGCCGGUCGGUGAAGACGUAGACGCCCAACAACGGCGGCAUAAAGGCCAGCCGUGCAGGCGGAAACACCAGUCGGCAGCGGCGAAGGCAAGCCGGUCGGUGAAGACGUAGACGCCCAACAACGGCGGCAUAAAGGCCAGCCGUGCAGGCGGAAACACCAGCCGGCAGCGGCGAAGGCAAGCCGGUCGGUGAAGACGUAGACGCCCAACAACGGCGGCAUAAUAGGCCAGCCGUGCAGGCGGAAGCACCAGUCGGCAGCGGCGAAGGCAAGCCGGUCGGUGAAGACGUAGACGCCCAAUAACGGCAGCAUAAAGGCCAGCCGUGCAGGCGAAAACACCAGUCGGCAGCGGCGAAGGCAUGCCGGUCGGUGACGACGUAGACGCCCAACAACGGCGGCAUAAAGGCCAGCCGUGCAGGCGGAAACACCAGUCGGCAGCGGCGAAGGCAAGCCGGUCGGUGAAGACGUAGACGCCCAACAACGGCGGCAUAAAGGCCAGCCGUGCAGGCGGAAACACCAGUCGGCAGCGGCGAAGGCAAGCCGGUCGGUGAAGACGUAGACGCCCAACAACGGCGGCAUAAUAGGCCAGCCGUGCAGGCGGAAGCACCAGUCGGCGGCGGACGAGGCGGCCGGUCGGUGAAGACGUAGACGCCCAACAACGGCGGCAUAAAGGCCAGCCGUGCAGGCGGAAGCACCAGUCGGCAGCGGACGAGGCGGCCGGUCGGUGAAGACGUAGAUGCCCAACAACGGCGGCAUAAUAGGCCAGCCGUGCAGGCGGAAGCUCCAAUCGGCAGCGGCGAAGGCAAGCCAGUCGGUGAAGACGUAGACGCCCAACAACGGUGGCAUAAAGGCCAGCCGUGCAGGCGGAAACACCAGUCGGCGGCGGCGAAGGCAAGCCGGUCGGUGAAGACGUAGACGCCCAACAACGGCGGCAUAAUAGGCCAGCCGUGCAGGCGGAAGCACCAGUCGGCGGCGGACGAGGCGGCCGGUCGGUGAAGACGUAGACGCCCAACAACGGCGGCAUAAUAGGCCAGCCGUGCAGGCGGAAGCACCAGUCGGCGGCGGUCGAGGCGAGCCGGUGGUGAUGUUCUGACUGAUCCAUUCCUGGAGCGUAAGAGAUAAGCUUAAAGCCAUGAAUCCCUUUUAUGCAUAUCUGGAUCUGGAUCCUGCAGAACAAACAUAUAGGAUGAGUAGUAUCUGAUAUAAAUAUAAUACUCGAGAAAAAAUCAAGUAUUUUAAAAUAUUUAUAAAUAUGUAUUUCUCCUCUUGUCAAUUUUGAUUUCCCCGAGCAGAUGAUUCAUUACGUUUAAACGCUCUGUCCGACUAGUCAUAGCCCCCAAGCAUCGGGAGUCGGCCUAGGCACUUCCCAGACAUGCAUAUGAGUGACAUGAGUUCGCCAUUAAUAGAACAAAGUUUCACGAAUCAGAAUUUACUACUCGGGUACUUUUGCAAUUAUUAAGAGCAGAAAAUAAAUUUAUCUCAUCUCUAUGCUUUUGAUUUAUUCCGAAUAAUACUUAGCACCUUGCGUUACUCGGUCCAUCCAACGAGCUCCCGGGUGCUAGGAAUCGGCCCAAAGGCAACCAUCCAUUGGCAAACCAAAUGGAAAGCAUAGGAAGAUAGAACUCCAUAACUCGAUAGGUACUUUUGUACUCAGAUUAUGUCGCAAGCAAUCAAGAUAAAUAUUAUAAAAAAUAUGAUAUAACAUCUGUAGCCCCCGACUCACUACUCAAUGGAAGACCAAUUGAUGUCGUGAGGCAGAGGAAAAGGAAAAAUGUCAUAUAAAGAAUAAAAUAAAUGAUGACUUAGCUUUGUAAUAUUCCCCUUGGUGAUGGCAGAAGUGGCCAAUGAGGGAACAAAGUCGUCCAUCAAUAACAAUGAAGACACCAGUCGGCGGCGACGAAGGCGGUCGACGGUGAAAGCGAAGAUGCCCACUAAUGGCGGCAUAAUAGGCCAGCCGUGUAAGCGGAAACACCAGUCGACGGCAACGAAGGUGAGCCAACGGUGAAGAUGUAGACGUCCAACAACAGUGGCAUAAUAGGCCAGCCGUGCAGGCAGAAACACCAGUCGGCGAAGGCCAGCCGGUCGGUGAAGACGUGGACACCCAUGAACGGUGGUGUGACCAACCGACCGUAUAGGCGGGGACACCAGUCGGCGGCGACGGAGGCAGGCCGGCGGUGUAGAUGACGAUGCCCAUCAACGGUGGUGUGACCAACCGACCGUAUAGGCGAGGACUCCAGUCGGCGGCGACGGAGGCAGGCCGGUGGUGAAGUCGUAGACGCCCAACAGCGGCGGCAUAAUAGGCCAGCCGUGUAGGCGAAGGCACCAAUCGGCGGCGACGGAGGCAGGCCGGCGGUGAAGACGUAGACGCCCAACAACGGUGGUGUGACCAACCAACCAUAUAGGCGAAGACACCAGUCGGCGGCGACGGAGGCAGGCCGGUGGUGAAGUCGUAGAUGCCCAACAGCGGCAGCAUAAUAGGCCAGCCGUGCAGGCGGAAACACCAGUCGGCGGCGGCGAAGGCCAGCCGGUCGGUGAAGACGUGGAUGCCCAUGAACGGUGGUGUGACCAACCAACCGUAUAGGCGAGGACACCAGUCGGCGGCGACGGAGGCAGGCCGGCGGUGAAGUCGUAGACGCCCAAUAGCGGCGGCAUAAUAGGCCAGCCGUGCAGGCGAGGACACCAGUCGGCGGCGAUGAAGGCAGGCCGGCGGUGAAGUCGUAGACGCGCAACAGCGGCGGUAUAAUAGGCCAGCCGUGUAGGCGGAGGCACCAAUCGGCGGCGACGGAGGCAGGCCGGCGGUGAAGUCGUUGUUGUUAUCAGCAAUGGCGGUGGCGAAGACAAGCCGGCAGAGUGGACUCGCGGCCGAUCGACCGGAAAGCUGAGACGCCUCGAGUCCAUGACCAGCAUCAAUCGCCUCAAUAGUGCCGCGUAAUUAUAUGCGAACAACAACAAAAAAUAGCAAGAGAUUAAUCUGGGAUUAAAAAUCAAUACGAUAAAUAAUGAUAAAAAUCAGAUUGAGUUUCCCCCUGACUGAUUUGGAUCAAGUUAGAGAAGAGGAGCUUGAAGAAGUGGUCGACGGAAAGGAAGUGAAAACUCCCAAAGCGAAAACGAAGUCGGCGACUCAUGAAAUUGAUUCCAUCGCGCUUGUUGAUAGGAAACUCGACGCAACCCCUACCUGGCGCGCCAACUGUCGAAACAUGAUUUCGGCAAUAAUAAAAGGGGGUAGCACACGAGACCUAAAAGUGGAUGGAUGCAGAGACAAAGGAUUUAGACAGGUUCAGGCCCUCUCAAUGAGAGGUAAUACCCUACUCCUGUUUGGGGAUUUGAAUCCGCCGGGUGUAGUAUAGAUCUGACGAUCAGGUUGUGUCAUAUGCCCCCUAGAGGGCCUCCUGCCCACCUUAUAUAGGAUGGGGGGCAGGAUUACAAGAUAGAAACCUUAACCAACACGGUAUCGGUUUCCUAAAUCUACUUUACAAUCUUAUCAAGCCAGGACUUUAGGCCGUUCCAUAAUAUACAGGGAAACGUAAUACCCAAGUCAUGAUCUGUUACAUAUUUCAUACAUAUAUGUUAUCCCCUAUUACUAGUCGGAUAACCAUGCCGUGUGGAUAUGGGGUACCCAUAAUCUCCACAAUAGGAAUCAUCAAAUCGUGAAAAAGGUUAAAUCCAAACCAAGUUUGUUUCUGUACAUAUUAAUUCAAAAUUGCUAAACUAUUUUAUAGCAAAAUGCUCACAAGAGACAGCAAAACGAGUAUAAAUCUAUAUUUCUAAUACUAAAUUUUGAAAUUAUGUAAUUUCAAAAAAAACAUAAAGUAAUAGAAGAAAUAUUAGAAUGGGUUAUAUAAGAAAUUACUAAUUAUGUUUUUGGCCACUAUAAUUUAAAUGAAAGUGUUUUGUAUCAACUUCUUUUAAACAAAAUUUACUUAUGAGUUUAACAAUAUAUUUUAUCAUUAUCCAGUGAAAUUUUAAUAUUUUGUCAUUCACAGUAACCCGUGCAAUGCACGGGUUGACCGCUAGUAAUAAGUAAUAAAAGGUGGAAUGGACGACGUUCCUCUCUUCUAUAGUUUUGUUCUUGAAAUUCUAUUUUUUUUAUGUAAUGUUCUUAGUAAUUUCUAUUACGUACGUACGUGGCUUGUUAAAUAUGAUAACUAGGUAUUAGUUUCAUGACCUGUCAAAUAGCAUCCCUUGCCAUCCUUGUAGCAGCACAGUCCAUUCCAGAUCUUACCAAGUUCGCCUUAGACUCCCUAGUCCAUCUGCUUCCUGGACAUUCUGUUCGUUCAUGACAUCAAUAAAAGCCAUACACAAAAAGUUUGUCAUAUGUCGGACUAACGGGGGCCCCGUGUCGCUCCAGGGGCAGGGCCGACACGGUCGGCGGCAACCAGCGCCUUCCUCCUCACCCCCGUCUUCCACCCUCCUCCGCCUCGCUGCCGCCCGAGCGGUCAGCCGAAAACCGCGCAGCUGCAAGGAUGGUGACAAUGGGGCCUUCCUUCUCCCUCGAGGUCGCAGGGUCGAUGCCCACGACCCUGACCAGAUUGGGGCGGCGAUGGUGCGGUGGCUAUUGGUAUUUCUUAACGGCAUUACUAUAAAUAUAUAAUUCCCAGCAAUAGCGCAUAAAUACUUCUGGUAUAUUAGGGUUACAGAUUUCAUCCACAAACGUACGGAUAUCCCAUUAUAGCAUUUCACCCUAGAGUAUUCUAAGGGUAUCAUAUUUUUAUGUUUCAGAUGGACACACAAUUUACAAACAAAAAUUAAGUAUAGCACAUAUGUAGAAGUCCAUGAUCACGCGCAUCAUCUACAGAUUUCCAGGUAGCUUGAGCUGCUAAUUAACUGCUGAGAUCAUCUGCAGAUUUCCAGGUAGAUUUGAAAAUAACAAAAUUCGAAAGUAAUAUAUAUCGUCACACAUCUGAAGCAUAAGUCAUUUCCAUGUUUUAAUAAUUUUGAAUUUUGGAAUUAAUCACUACCUAUAUUGUCCUUGUGUUGGUCUCCUAAUUUGGUACUAUGCUCCUGUUUUUAGAUACGCGAUUUUAAUUAGCACUUUUACAUCAUACAUUAAAUUAGUAUGCUAAAUUAAAAUUUCGAGAAAUCAUAGAUUCACUUAAACAAAUGUAUUUGGAUGAAGCAUGGAGCAGAUUUGUUAGCGAUAUAUGUUUAACUUAUCUGGAAAAAGGAAAUGUCCACUUAAAACUUGUUAUUAAUUUAUAGUGAACUUUCUCAUUAGCAAUAAAAAAAAGAUCAGCAACAUAAUUAAUUCUUUAUUUCAAUUAAAAUAAAAAAAUCAAGAAUAUCAUAUUACAUGAUGUGGGAGUUGACCCUAUAAUUAAAUUCAGGUGUUUACAUAUUCAUCAAUAAAUCCAAAGUUCUGUUUGAAUCUAGGUUAUCCAUCGGUGACCAUCGCAUCUACAAUCGACUGAUGCAUAUAAGAUGAUUCAUCAUUACAUCUACAAUGCACAAAGGUAUCCUGUUAAUUAAUCUUAAAUUAAUUUAUAGUUAGUUUAGAUGAGAAACAUGUAAGAAACAACUGAAUGAAACCCUAAAAAGAUUGAAUCAGAUCUUGCUCACUUGAGUAUUUUAAAUAGCCAUCGUACCUGCAGAGAUCAAUAUCUUGGAUCGAUAAAACACUUCCUCGCCAAUGCAUCCGGUCGACGGAGUUCCUCGGCUGCAGGGUCAAGUAGAUCGACGUAGCCUGCCGUGUUGUGAUCUCGUCGCGUGCAGAGUCGAGUCCGACUGCUGAGACCGAUAUGGGUACAAUUUGUAGACCUUGAAGGAAGCCUGUAUAGAUUGAAUGGUGGCCCAGACACGUGUUGGGCUUUAAUUAAAGGUCCAUAGUUAUAAUAUUUAAUCUACGGUCAUGAUUUUACGAUCUAGUUAAUCAAUGGUCAGAUUAAUCUGAUUGACGUGAGAGCUCUGGAAAAGUGCCCAAUUAGUAUAACGUGAGAGCUCUGGAAAAUGCCCAAUUAGUAUAGAUAUAGAAUAGAUAGAUAGAUUGUCUUCAGAUACAUAGGGACGCAGCAAUCGUGGAUGUGAAAAUUAGAAUCACUCUUUUCGUUCUAAAAUAAGUGGCCUUACUAUAGAGGGGGAUCUUCAGGCUGCAUAGCAAUACACCGUCGGCACGGUCACCAUGCCGACGACCCUAUGGCCACCACAGCCCUGCAGCGGCACCAUUCCGGCCACCGACAUGGGCACCCUCCUUAGCAUGACAUUCCAUUUUUCAAUCUCAUCAUCAAAUCAAAGAACAACGACGUACGGAUAGCUAGCGAAUCAUCAAGAUUUAUAGAGAGGAACAUCGGAGUUCAUCAUUUAUUCACCACACAUAUGCUUCCAAACAAAAGGAAAACACUAAUUAUUUUAGUAACCACACCACAUACAUGCACAGCUAGCUACAGUAGCCUAGCUAGUAGCCAGAUCUCGCCAGCCAGUAGCAGACACCACCUCCGCCGUUGGGGAUGUCCACGUUGCAGAACGCCGGGAGGCUCGCCGCCGCGCGCUCCAAGUCCCCUCUCCGGCAGCCGCGGAACACCUCGGACAUGGGGUGCCCGACAUCGGGGGCGCCGAGCUCCCUGUAGAUGCCUCCCAGCAUGUGGCUGAUCGCCUCGCACCUGCACCAGCUGUCGUCGACGGCGGCGAGCUGCCGGCAGCAGUCUCGCCGGACCUGCUCGGCGGCGGCGGCCGUGCCACGGCCGACGCACUGGCGCUUCACCAACGCCCGGCAACGCGGGAGCGGGUACAUCGGGUAGCCCAUUCCUGGCUGACAGAGCGGGCCCGGGGUGUAGACCACCUGGUCUUGGUGGUGGUACUCCGCCAUGGUCGCCGUCGCCGCGAGCACGGAGACGACGGCGAGAAGCAACACUGAGAACACUACCUUGUUGGAAGCCAUAUUUUUGUUGCAGAAAAUCUUAACUAUCAAUU